rnacentral:lncRNA from 1 species
GGGACCGUCAGCUUGCCUACCUGCACCUGCGGGCAUGGAACGCAUGCCCUGUGAAAUAGGGUGUCAGUACGAAAAAUGUACUGAGUAUGUAAGGCAAGAAAAUUAGUACGUAAAAGAUAUAGAUGAAACAUGGAAUACAGAAAUACCUUUAAAUCUAAAUAACUUUGUAAAUUCUGAAACGUUUAUAAUAUCAUGCAUGUGCGUAUAAAUGUCAUGCCAUGCAUAGGUAUGAGUGUACAUAAUAUCAUCAAGCCACUGAGGGCAUCCCAUCAUAUCGUCUCGGCCAUGGUGGGCACAUCAUCAAUAUAUACCAACUGAUCAGNNNNNNNNNNNNNNNNNNNNNNNNNNNNNNNNNNNNNNNNNNNNNNNNNNNNNNNNNNNNNNNNNNNNNNNNNNNNNNNNNNNNNNNNNNNNNNNNNNNNNNNNNNNNNNNNNNNNNNNNNNNNNNNNNNNNNNNNNNNNNNNNNNNNNNNNNNNNNNNNNNNNNNACAUAUAUACACAUAUAUAACGCUAUCUGGUCAUGGGUCAAUGCACAUGAGUGAAAUAUAUGAAAAAUACGUAAUAAUCUCAAUAUUUCUUCCGGAUAAACUUUUCCAACUACGUAUUAUUCUGAGACAUAUGAACAGAAAAUAAUAAUUUUCAUGGGGAAUCAAGAAUAUAGACACCCCAAAUAAUUCUAUGAAUAGAGUAAUUUAUGUUAUUUGCUCGUUUCUUCAAUAUCAAUUGGACCAUGCCAAAAGAAAGAAGGAAGGGUCUUAACAUACCUGUUUCUUAAUUAUUUGAACGAAUCUACUUCUGCGAAAUUCUUGAAUGGAAUUUAUUCUUGGAUUUGAAAUUUGGAACGAAAUUCUUGACAGAAUCAUAUGUAAUUGGAACGAAAUUCUUGACUUGAAUUAUUUGAACGAAUGUAAUUGGAACGAAAUUCUUAGCUGUUUUUGUUGGAUUUGUUUAUGCCUAACAUCUUUGGCUUCUAAGCCAAAGGCUGAAUUUAGACUUUAAAGCCUUUACAAGGCAUUUCUUCUAAUGUUAUGGAUAAGAUUUGAAAAUCUUAUCAUACAUAAGUUAUGACCAUAUUAGCCAUCUGGCAAAUUGACUACUUAGUCAUUUCCAAAUCUUGUGGCUUCUUUCCAUGUGGGGUGGGGUGGGAUAAUUUAUUAAUUUUUUUAUCCACUUAUUAGUUAACUGGGUAAUGUCCUGUUACACGAUAAUUAAUCAAUUACCCGCAUAAUUUAAAAAUUACCACAAAAUUACUUAAUAUUUUAUUUAUUUUUAAAAUACUUCAUAUAUACUUUAUAUAUUAUGCUACCGUGGUCAUAUGGUACCUUGUAUGAUACUAGUUCUUAUAUUGGGUAUUAUCGCUCGACCCGUAUUUUAUUCCAAAUUGGCCACUUCCAACGAAACUCGUUUUCGUUAAUCCAUGUACCCCUUUAUCCUUCAUAACACUUAUUUAUCACUUGUUAUAAAUAGCGUAAGUACGUUAACGUCAAUAUGAUCUCAUCCUCGAGUCUACGUCGGUUAACUGAAAACGAAAUUUUUAACAUACGAAAACGCGAGAUGUAACAUCCUUCCCCCCUUAGAAACAUUCGUCCUCGAAUAUUUAACUCUCUAGGAUCUAUAUAAUCUUGGCAGAGUUGCCCUUGGUAACAAUGCUACAACCAACUCUUCCAGUAAAAAAUUAAUAAUUUAAUGCCACACAGGACCACGACCAUCAAUAACGACAGUGCCUCACAUGACCAAUAACAAUAACUAACACCAAAAUCCAUACACGUACUUUUAAGGUUAUGACGUCUUCGACGAAUCCUUUCUUGAGGAGGAAAUAAGUAGAGAUAUCUAGACUUCAUGACUUCCUCGGCCUCCCAAGUCACUUCUUCCACAUUGUGGUUUCUCCAAAGCACUUUCACUGAAGCUACGUCUUUUGUUCUCAAUCUCUGAAUCUUCCGUCUAAUAUAGCAAUGAGAGUUUUUAACAUGAUAGUUGCUCUGUGCCCUGUACGUCAUCAACUAACACAAUUCUGGAAGGAUCUCCGAUACAUUUACGGAGCAUAAACACAUGAAAGACUGAAUGUACAGACUCCAAGUCUGAAGGCAAGUCUAAUUCAUAUACUACCUGGCUUACUUUGCAUAUGAUCCUUUCUGAACCUCAUAACAGCUUUAUCGGUGAUACCUUUUGGAAUAACCAGUCCUCCACCUGAAAUUCCAAGUCUUGUCAUCGAUUAUCCGCAUAAGCACUCUGACGGCUUUGAGCUACCAAUAACCUUUCCUAUAUAAGCUUAAUUUUCUUGAUUGCCUGUUGUACCAAUUCUGGUCCUACUAAUAUAGUUUUCCCAACAUCGAACCACCCUAUCAGUGACCUACACUUCCAUCCGUAAAGAGCUUCAUAUAGAGCCAUCCAAAUUCUAGAAUGGUAGCUAUUAUUAUAUGCGAACCCAAUAGGCGGUAGAUGAUCAUCUCAACUACCUUUGAAGUCUAUUACACAAGCUCGUAACAUAUCCUCCAGUGUUUGAAUAGUACGCUCAGCCUGCCCGUCUGCCUACGGAUGAAAUGUUGUACUAAGACUUACUUGAGUCCCCAAUCCUUUUUGGAAGGACCUCCAGAAGUUAUCUGUAAAUUGAGCUCCUUUAUCCGAGAUAGUAGAUACUGGAACACCAUGCAGUUGUACUAUUUUCUUAAUAUAAAGCCUUGCAUAAUCCUAUGAGGAAUAUGUAGUCCUAAAGGGUAGAAAAUGGGUAGACUUUGUAAGCCUAUAAACAAUUACCCAUAUCGAAUCGAACUUACGCUGGGUAAGAGGUAAGCCUAAUCUUAUCCUGCUGACAGUUAGGAAACUGAGCAACAAACUCUGCUAUAUCCUUUUUCAUUUCGUCCUACCAAUACACUCUCCUAAUAUCAAUCUUUGUCGCUCUUGGAUGGAUAGAAUAAUGAGAAUAGUGGGUUUCUCACAUAACCUGCCGAUGCAGCCCUGCAACAUUAGGCACUAAUCGUCCUUAAUAUCUGAGAACCCCAUCUCUUGUAAUUUCAAACGGUGCCUUUUCCUUCUGAGGGGUGGUAUCCCUAUAAUGAACUAACACAGGAUCCUCGUACUGGCAUUUCUUUACUUCAAUUACUAAAUAGGAUGUUGUCGUAUCCUGAAUAGUAAUUCCAAUAUCACCUGAGUCCAGUAACCGAACUCCAAGACUAGCUAGCUGGUAAAACUCAUGGGCUAUUCUCCUCCCUUUUCUAGCUGUAAAUAUGACUGGCUACCCAUAGAUCUAUGGCUGAGGGCGUCGGCUACUAUGUUCUCCUUCCCCGGAUGGUAUAAAAUAUCAGCGUCAUAGUCUUUAAAUAGCUCCAACCAUCUUAUUUGACGAAGAUUCAAUACCUUUUACUUUAAGAUGUACUAGAGGCUCCUAUGGUCCGUAUAGAUAUCAACAUGAAUGCCAUACAAGUAGUGUCUCCACAUCUUUAGUGUAUGAAUCACCAAGCUAACUCUAAAUCGUUGGUCGGGUAGUUCUUCUGGUGCUUUCUUAGUUAUCUAGAGGCAUAAGCCACAACCUUACCAUGCUGCAUCAGCACACAACCCAAUCCAAUGUCUGAAGCAUAGCAAUAGAUAACAAAACCAUCGGUCCCUUCUGGAAGCGUUAGAACCAGUGCUGAAGUUAAUCUGCCCUUUAAUGCCUGGAAACUCUGUUCGCAAGGAUUGGCCCAUUAAAACUUAGUUCACUUCUGAGUUAACUUACAUGGGUAUCCUAAUAUUUUGUAAUUCAGGAAAUUCCCCUCUUCGGAGGCCCAAACUUCAUCCUUUAUCAAUCACAAUUAUGCCCUUAUCCCAUUAUUAGGGCAGCAUUUCAUCUAUUCUAAACGUUACUAGUCUUAGACUCCUUUGAGUUCAUUCGGGCUAUAUUGAGCCUUCUAUAACUUAGAGAAACCAUUAGCUUUCUUAUGAACUUAUUCCUAAGGACUUACCCAUUUGUCACCUUUUCGCUCAUCUUUUCUUAUCCUUCCUCCUAUCUUCCUAAAACCUUGUCGCUCUACCAUACUUUAGCUUGCGACCUACACAUAUCUAUUUAUACAUAUUCGCAACCUUUCUUCAACUUACUUGCACCAUACAUUUCCUUAUAUUAUUUCGGAACAUUAAGAGAGACACCACAUACUAUUUUGGUCGAAGGUUCUUAGAAGAGAAGAAAAUUCUGUUACAAGUUUCCUAUAAUAACUUGCCGAACAGAGAAGCUACGAACCUCUAUCGGUGUUGUGGGUCUAGGCGAAGUCUUCACUGCCUUAGUCUCUUGUGUAUCCACCCGGAUAUCUUCACCUAAAAUAAUAUACCCAAGAAAAGCUACAGAGUUCAACCAGAAUUCACAUUUAGAGAAUUUUGCAUACAACUUCCCUUUUUGUAGAACUCUGGGUACAAUACGCAAGUGAUCUGCAUGCUCAACCUCUAAACAAGAAUACACCAACAUAUCGUCGAUAAAUACAAUUAUGAACAGAUCUAAAAAAAGCCUGAACACACGGUUCAUCAAGUCCAUGAAUACUGUUGGGGCAUUGGUCAGACCGAACAACAUAACCCGAAACUCAAAGUGCCCAUAUCUAGUCUCGAAUGCCGUCUUCGGAAUAUCUCCAUCCUUGACCCUUACCUGAUGGUACCCGGACCUUAGGUCUAUCUUUUAAAAACACUUGGUACCUUGCAACUAAUCAAAUAAAUCAUCAAUUCUCAGGAGUGGGUACUUAUUAUUGAUCGUCACCUUAUAAAGCUGCCUAUAAUCAAUAUACAUUCGUAAGGAAUCAUCUUUCUUUCUCAUAAACAACACAGGUGCUCUCCACAGUGAGGUACUAGGCCUGAUAAUGCCUUUUUCAAGUAAGUCCCUUAAUUAUUCUUUUAACCCUUUCAGCUUUGCGGGAGCCAUUCUAUAGGGAAGAAUAGAUAUUGGGUNNNNNNNNNNNNNNNNNNNNNNNNNNNNNNNNNNNNNNNNNNNNNNNNNNNNNNNNNNNNNNNNNNNNNNNNNNNNNNNNNNNNNNNNNNNNNNNNNNNNNNNNNNNNNNNNNNNNNNNNNNNNNNNNNNNNNNNNNNNNNNNNNNNNNNNNNNNNNNNNNNNNNNNNNNNNNNNNNNNNNNNNNNNNNNNNNNNNNNNNNNNNNNNNNNNNNNNNNNNNNNNNNNNNNNNNNNNNNNNNNNNNNNNNNNNNNNNNNNNNNNNNNNNNNNNNNNNNNNNNNNNNNNNNNNNNNNNNNNNNNNNNNNNNNNNNNNNNNNNNNNNNNNNNNNNNNNNNNNNNNNNNNNNNNAGUUCAUUAGGAAAAACAUUAGGAAACUUAUUAACCCCAAGGAAGGACUGAAUGGUUGAUAACUCUAAUUCCACAUCCCAAACCCGAACUAAGUGAUAAAUAUGGUCUUUAUGAUCAUCUUCCUUGCCUUGAGAUAGGAGAUAAAUUUACCUUUUGACGAUGAGGCAUUACUUUUCCAUUCCAAAACAGGCUCUCCUGGAAACUGAAAUCAAACCAUCUUUGAUCCACACUUAAUGUUAGCAUAACAAAAGGCCAAUCGAUCCAUACAUAUUACAAUAUCAAGUCCUACCUAACCGAACACUACAUAUCUUAUCCUUGUUUAUUAUCAAACCUAUCACGGGUCAUUUCGGGCCACAUCCAUAUAUAUUGGUAACAAUAUUAAAACAUAACUUGCAUAACUAAUUUACAAAAAGGUUUAUAUACAUAGGGGUCGACUAGGCCAUAGAUAUCAUACCCAAAACUAUAUACAUGCUAAUGUCUGCAAAACCUCUAAAUAGGCAUAACCAUAAUAUAUACAAGUCGGGACGGAGCUCCCUACGUCCUCAUAAAGUUACCUAACAUAUCUAUAACCCUGACUUGGUAAUAUUCUGAGAAGAGGUGGAACUCAUCAACCAAAAACUGACACUUGGAGGAAGUCUAUAGUAGAGGGUCCUUGCCUCGUCCUAUAUAAGAACCUCGAUCAGACCCACUUUGAAGCGGAAUCUUCAUGUCCUUAUCAGUUACCUUCCUCAUCUUGGCCUGACUACUAUCUUCUUCAUCUGUGUAUCCCAUAACAUACACCGACAACCCUUGAUUGACGGACUCCCAAGACUGUGGACUAUCCGGAACCUUAGAAGAGCUGGUGUCCUCAAAUACAUUGACAUAGUUUUAAGCCCGAGGGAAUCCCAGGUAUGCCAAUCCAUGCACUAGUCCCCUCAUAUCCUAAUUAACAGGUUGUGAAAAUAAGGGUCUUGGUAAGGUCCGAACUCCUCUCACCCCAUCAACUACUGGAGUGGUCGAAACAGCUCGAACGUAUGACUCAUAUGGANNNNNNNNNNNNNNNNNNNNNNNNNCGUAGCCUUCUGACCCGUGCUAACAGCUGUAGUCUUCGGAGGCAUACGCUAAAAAUGUAACACAACGUUAGGAACAUAAAUGCUUAUAUCACACGAUCUAAGAUAAGAAGAUAGGAUAACAUCCUAUAUGUCCUGUAGCCUCCUGUCUAUAAGUGUGGUGCACAACAUACCCAUAAAUAAGACUCUACUAGACACGAUCUGUAGACAACCCUAGGAUAGAGCUGCACUGAUACCACUUUUGUCAUGACCCAAACCGAUGGGCCGCGAAGGGUGCCUGAGUCCUGCCUAUCAAACACCCCUAAGCAUACGUCUAAGAUAUGAACCUAUAUAGCAUCUGCUAAAUUACGAAGAUAACAUACAUGAAGAAAACUUGCUAUAGACAACUAUACAUUCAAUAACUAAAAGCCGACAAGGCCACAUACAACCCAACUAGACAUACUGUCUACAUACCUCUUAUAGAAAUAUAACUAUACAAAGAUGGGAUUAAGCCACGUCAUAUAUAUAUAUAUGCCAACUCUCGCUAAUCAGGGAUCCUAAGAAGGGGGACCGUCAGCUUGCCUACUUGCACCUGCGGGCAUGGAACGCAUGCCCUGUGAAAUAGGCGUCAGUACAAAAAUGUACUGAGUAUGUAAGUCAUGAAAAUUAGUUCGUAAAACACAUAGAUGAAACAUGGAAUACAUAAAUACCUUUAAAUCUGAAUAACUUUAUAAAUUCUGAAAUGUUUAUAAUGUCAUGCACGUGCAUAUAAAUGUUGUGCCAUGCAUAGGUAUGGGUGUACAUAAUAUCAUCAAGCCACUGAGAGUAUCCCAUCAUAUCGUCUCGGCCACUGUGGGCACAUCAUCAACAUAUACCAGCUGAUCAGGUGGUGGUGCGUAUAUAACAUCGUAACCUUUUCCCAUAUCCCAUAUACAUAUAUUUACAUAUAUGUGCGUAUAUAAUGCCAUCUGGUCAUGGGUCAAUGCACAUGAGUGAAAUGUAUAAAAAAUACGUAAUAAUCUAAAUAUUCCUUCCGAAUAAACUUUUCCAACUACGUAUUAUUUUGAGGCCCAUGAACAGAAAAUAAUAAUAAUUUUCAUCGGGAAUCAAGAAUAUAGAUACCCCUAAUAAUUCUAUGAAUAGAGUAAUUUAUGGAAACUGUGUUAUUUGCUCGUUUCUUCAAUAUCAUUUGGACCAUGCCAAAAGAAAGAAGGGAGGGCAUUACCAUACUUGUUUCUUGAAUUAUUUGAACGAAUCUGCUUCUGCAAAAUUCUUGAAUGGAAUUUAUACUGGGAUUUGAAAUUUGGAACGAAGUUCUUGGUAGAAUGAGAUGUAAUUGGAAUGAAAUCUUGACUUGAAUUAUUUGAACGAAUGUAAUUGGAACGAAAUUCUUAGCUUUGUUCCAACGUUUUUGUUGGAUUUGUUUAUGCCUAACAUCUUUGGCUUCUAAGCCAAAGGCUGAAUUUAGACUUUAAAGCCUUUACAAGGCAUUUCUUCUAAUGUUAUGGAUAAGAUUUGAAAAUCUUAUCAUACAUAAGUUAUGACCAUAUUAGCCAUCUGACAAAUUGACUACUUAGUCAUUUCCAAAUCUUGUGGCUUCUUUCCAUGUGGGGUGGGGUGGGAUAAUUUAUUAAUUUUUUUUAUCCACUUAUUAGUUAACUGAGUAAUGUCUUGUUACCCAGUAAUUAAUUAAUUACCCGUAUAAUUUAAAUAUUACCACAAAUUACUUAAAAUUCUAUUUAUUUUUAAAAUACUUCAUAUAUACUUUGUAUAUUAUACUACCGUGAUCAUAUGGUACCUUGCAUGGUACUAGUUAAUAAUUAUCGGGUAUUAUCGCUCAACCCGUAUAUUAUUCCAAAUUGGCCACUUCCAAUGAAACUCAUUUUCGUUAAUCCGUGUACCCCUUUAUCCUUCAUAACACUUAUUUAUCUCUUGUUAUAAAUAGCGUAAGUACAUUAAUGUCAAGAUGAUCUCAUCCCCGAGUCUACGUCGGUUAACUGAAUAUGAAAUUUUUAACAUACGAAAAUGCGAGAUGUAAUAGUUGCCAAGGCUGCUCAAUUUCAAGCAGGGAGGAUCGCCGAGCACACCAAGUAUCAAUCUCGAAGGGAGAACCUUGAGCAAAUCCAUGCUCGGGGCUUUCAUCUUUCAACCGAGAUUGAGAGCGCUAAGAAGCUUGAAGCUGAGGCUGAGAAAUUAGCUUAUCCCAAUGAUGAUGAUGCAUCUGAAAGCUUGAGCAAAUCUAAAAGUGCAGAAGACCCUGAGGGUGGAGAUGCCACUCUCUGAGAUGACCAGGCCACUUAGGCUUUAGUUAGUUUUUGUAUUUCUGUCGAGGUUACUUUGGACUUUUGUAAAGAAUUUCCAUUGGGCCGUGUAGCCCUUGUAAAAAGGGUUUGAUGAAUAUAUAAAAAAUUUCCCUUCCAUGGCUUCUGAAUUUGUUAUCUUUUUGUACGGGUCAAGGUGCCUUAGCAUAAAAUUAUGAAGUUGUUUCUGAAGGUACAAAGUUUGAGAUAGUAAGGCCCGAUAAUAAGUACUGUCCUUGACCGUUUCUAAUAGAUGGAGCUCGAAUGUUCAUUUGAAAUUGAGUUAGAAUAGCUCUUAAGCUUAACAGUCGAGUGAGGAUUUGCUCGAACUCGAAGAGAAGGUAUCCCUUAGGCUUUAUGAUCAAGUGAGGACUUGCUCGAACUCGAGAUAAGGUAGCCAUUGGUCUUGAUAGAUAGUCCCCGAGUGAGAAUUUGCUCGAAUUCGGGUUAAGGUAGCCCUUGAGCUUUGUAGUAGAGUGAGGACUUGCUCGAACUCGAAGUAAAAUUAGCCCUUAAGCUUUAUGAUCGAGUGAUGAUUUUCUUGAACUAGAGAUAAGGUAGCCCUUGAUCUUUGUAUUCAAGUGAGGGCUUGCUCGAACUCGAAGUAAAAGUAGCCCUUAGGCUUUAUAGUUGAGUAAGGACUUGCUCGAACUCGAGAUAAGGUGGCCCUUCGGCUUGACAGAUAGUCCCCAAGUGAGAAUUUUCUCAAACUCGGGUUAAGAUAGCCCUUGGGCUCUGUAGUCAAGUGACAACUUGAUCGAACUCAAGUAAGGUGGCCCUUGGGCUCAAUAUAGCCCCCGAGUGAGAAUUUUCUCAAACUCGGAUUAAGGUAGCCCUUGGGCUUUGUAGUCGAGUGAGGACUCGCUCGAACUUGAAGUAAAGAGGGGGGGGGGGUGCUUUAUGAUCGAGUGAGGAUUUUAUUGAACUUGAGAUAAGGUAGCCCUUGGGCUUUGUAGUCGAGUGAGAAUGAUUUCUCAAACUCGAAGUAAAAGUAGACUUUAGGCCUUUGUAUUUUUGCUUUCUUUUGUGUCUUUUUCGAGGCCAAUUUGUUACGGGUUUUGGACGUCUCUGUGCCAUGUUAAAUUGGUUGUAGCCUUUUGGUUCGGGUGUAGCCCAUUGAGCUUUCUUCUCGAGUUAUCCAAGCAUGCCUAAGAUAACAUUCCCCGAGUGGGAAUGGUCGUGACUUUUAAAUUCGAGGGUUGCCUAAAGGGUCUUAUGCCCUCGACGCUCAAUAGUUCGAUAUGUUCGAGUUUUAUUUUUCGGACGGCAGUCCCCGAGUGUGGGGUUGAAUAUCUAAAAUCUGGUUAUGAUCAGCCCUUAAGCUCGUUCGCAUAAUAGAUUCAAAGUAUGGAAUUGUGAAGUAGAAAAACGUUUUCUAAGACAUGAGAUAAUUGCAAGUAAAAAUACUUCUCUUUAUUCUUGUGAAAAAUGAUUACACAUGCGUACAUGUUUUGAACUAGGUCUCGAACAACCUAUCUGGGCACGGUUCGUUCGACCGUUUGGCCCUAUUGAGAUCUCAUCAUUAUGAAGUAAUUUCCUCGCAACAAAGUUGACAUCCAAUGAAAAUGCCCCCAGUGUUCAAGGUUUAUUGUAGGGAACUUCGGAAACUAUUAAAUGCUAUUUUUGACACCGAUUCAUGGCCAGCCUUCAAUUCUAAGCUAGCACGAUUCGCUAUUGCCUCAUUAAAAACCUUUCAUAAAAACCCAAUUACAACAAAAACAGUUCAAGGAAAAAGAGUGCAAUGCGUGCUUUAAGAUCCAAAACUUCGUGUCGUUCCUUGUCGAUAACCUGCAAGUGUUAGUCGAAAAAUAAACAGAAUUAAAAUGGGGUUGUACCUUCAUUUGGAUUUUGGAUCUUUAAUGUGACCUUCCUCAGUGCCAAAUCCCCAUGAACUUUGACCUCGAUCAUUUCUUCUCUCAUUCCGUGUAGAAUUCUGCUCAUACUUGCUGUCUCUACGGUCCCCAUUAUACGGUUGAUAUCAAUCUCUUUUUGACUUCGGUUCUCGGUCGAUAUGUCUCUUGAUUCUGUCCACAAGCCUCUUAGGAUAAACAAACCCAAAAGGAGUCCCCAGUUGAUCGUCCUUGACCCUGAUCUUCGAUUGAUAACGAUUGUGUACAUCGGCCCAAGUGAUAGAUGGGUAUUCGAUCAAAUUCUACUUCAACUGCUUGGAAGCUACUGAACAUAGAAUGUUAAGACCUUGAGUGAAAGCUUUAAUGGCCCAAUCGCCGCUGACUGUUGGCAAAUCCAUUCAUUCCAUUUGGAAUCGGGAAACGAAUUCCCUGAGCAUCUUGUUGUCCUUUUGCGUUCCUUACCUUGAAAAGGUUCGACUUUAUUGUUGCGACCUUAAUGGCCCCGUCGUGUGCCAUUACAAAGGAAUCUGCAAGCAUAGCAAUCGAGUCAAUAGAAUUAGGUAGUAAAUUAUGAUACCAUAUCAUAACACCCUUCGAUAAAGUCUCCCCGAAUUUUUUUAACAAGACGUAUUCGAUCUCGUCAUCUUCCAAGUCAUUUCCUUUGAUAGCACACGUGUAGGAAGUGAGGUGUUCAUUUGAAUCAGUCGUCCCAUUAUAUUUAGGAAUUUCUGGCAUGUGGAACUUCUUGGGGAUCGGCUCCAGAGCUAUGCUCGGGGUAAGAGAGCUAUUCCCCUCUUCGGAGGCCCAAACUUCAUCCUUUAUCAAUCACAAUUAUGCCCUUAUCCCAUUACCACCGUGUGCACUCUGAGUAGCUGAUUAGGUACCCUACAAAUGCUGCUUUCGGGAUCGGCGGCCAAAUUUCGCAUUGAUGGCUACAUGCAAACUGACAUCGAUUGGAUAUAUAGCCGGAACUCCAUCGAGGCCAGCAGGGGUUAAAACAUUUCCUAGUACAACAUUUCCUUGUGCAACAAAGUGACAAAAAAUUAAGAGCUUGAGAGAAAGAGAAUAUAUUGCUUUUCAUAACGUGAAUAUGAUAUCUUUACAAAUGAACAGACCCCUUUUAUAUAGUAGGGGAGUCCUUCCCUUAAUACAAUCCUAAAUAUAGUAAGAAAUCCCAUGAUUAACUGAUUGAUCGGCCUCUUCUUGAUACGUGCCGAGAUUUCCGCUGAGAUCCUCGUCCGAUCGCGGAUAUCUCGGCCUUCCAUUAUUUGGCUUGGCGGCUUCCCUCGGUCUUGAUCAAUCUCUAUCUUGCUCGGUCUCAAUCUUGGCUGAUCUCGGCCUUGAUUUGGUCCCUGAGUCACGAUCUUGGCAAUCUAACUUUGUGUCAUGAUCCGGUAUGACGUGGGGUUGAUUCUCGGCCUGUCACCCCCUGUCUCGAUUAAUCAAAAAAAUGUCAAGUCCGUUUUUGACCGUAUACAUGGAGCAUAUUGAAUUGUAGACAAUAGUGGAAACUGAAAAAAGUAUUACUCCCUCCGUUCUAAUUUAUGUUAACCUAUUUGACUGGGCACUUAGUUUAAAAAUAAUAAUUUUUUUUGGAAUUUAUGGUCCUAAACAAGUCAAAAAGGGGUCCAUAGUAUUUGUGUGAUUAUAAAAACUUUCUCAUUAAGGGUAGAAUUGAAAGUUUAGGUUAAAUUGAUUUAAAUUUAGAAAGGGGUCAUUCGUUUUGGAAAGGACCAAAAAGAAAAUAGGUUCACAUACACUGGAAUAGAGGGAGCACUAUCUUGUGACACCCAAACUGGUGGUAUGUUUAGCAUAAGGAGGAACAUGUUGGCUCAAUGAUAACAUCAGAUCAAGGAGCUCUUCUUUUGAUAGCUGGACAGGGUGCUAGUGGACAGACAAAGGAGAAAUACGUUACCUGUUAGGCAAGGUAACAAAGCAUUACAUUCAAUAUAGAAACUUUUAUUGUUAAUGAAAUAACCCAUUACUUAGGGUUAUGCUCAACUCAAGCUAUCGAAUCGAAGGAGCAUCACUUUUGAUGGACGAAUUUACUCAUGAUAGUAAUAUUAGGCAUGAAGGAAUAACUGUUGUAUUAUUUAUACCUAGUAAUGCAAAGUCAAAGAUUUCUUUGUGGUCCCUUUUCUUUCUCUACUUCUUUGUCUUUUAUGAAAGACAAUGUGUCCCUCAACGGUUAUGGAAAGUUUCUUUCUUCUCUUUACAUUGAAUUACUCUUUGUUGGGCUUGUAAAGAGCUAGUAAAAGGGAGUGGCCUCGUGCAUAUAUGAAAUUGUUCCUGAAGGUCAAACGGGUCGAUUUGCCCCCAACUGCGCACGAGAUAUACGUGAGCCUAAUCCAAAUAAUUUUUAGCAUUGGUUUGAUAAGUAUUCAGUAAGUUGUAUAAGUUAAUUUUUAUUUCCUUCUUGUUCUUGGUCAAUAUUAUGGUGGAUCAAUGACACUAUUUAAAGGUGCUAAUCCAGUGUAUAAUUUUUAGUCAUUUAUUUUCUCAUUGAUAGCUGUGUAUGUCCCUGGAUUACUCUCCUUCAUAAUGUAAAAACAUAUUGGAAGCCUCUUGUAAUUCUUUUCCGGUGCUCCUCUUAUCUUAUUUAUACCUUAUUGAAUAGAUUUUCAUGCCUUGUAAAAAGGUGAUGUGUUGUAGAAAUGCGGCACUUUUAAUACAAAUUUUAUAGACUUUAUAUUAACUUUUAAAGUAUCUUAGAUUAUUUUUACGUUGUUUGUAGGAAAUUAGACUUGAAGAGCCAAGAACAUGAAGAAAAAAAAAGAAUCAAAAACCUUGAAGAAGUAAAAUUUGCAAUUAGUUAUGCGACCGCAAAAUAGAUAGGCGGGCCGCACUUCUAUCGCAAAGCGUCUAGACAUUCUUAGUUUUUAGAAUAAAUAUACGGUCUAUUAUGCGGAGAGCAUAACCAAUGUGCAGAUCGAAAAAUUAUCGCACAAAUGCUAGAGGAAUUUUCAGCUAUCAGAAGCGACAAGUCUGCAACCCAUUAUGUGGACCAUGAAAUAAUUAUGCGGACCGCAUAACAGAUCUGCGAUAGCAUUCUGAAAAAGUUGAAGAUCAAUUUUACAGUGAACCGCAGAUCACGUACGCGGUCCGUUUCUUGAUCGCGGAUCUUAUCUGAGGGAUAUUUUUGUCACAGAUUUGUCCGCAAUUUUUGGCAAUUAUAAAUAGAAUUGUUUACCGUGAAAAUGGUAAUUAUAAUUAAAUUUGAUUUUGCGGUUCCAUAAAUACGUGAUCUAUUUUUAUGCUUUUUGUUUGGGCAAUAGAUGCUAAGUGAGGUACUUGGAAUCAAGAUAAGAGCUUAAAAACAAGAUGUUAACCAAACCAAAUUGCUGUCAAUCGGGGCCUCGAGUUUACUUAUUCGGGGCCUCGGGGUCAAGUUCAAUGUCCGCCGAGGGUGAUCGAGGGACGACUAACAAUUAUAAUCAAAUCAAUGAUGUCUCUUUAUGGCCAAUAAUAAGAAAUAAAUGACGGACAAUAAAUAGAAAACAAUGGAUAUGAACAUAAAUGCAAGUAAUGAGAUCAAGAGAAUAUGUUAGAGAGCAGAGAGAAUGUUCUUGUGUAUUUAGUAUUGAGCAAUAGGUAUUUACAAAAGGACAAGGAUCCCCUUUAUAUAUGAGGGGGAAUCCCAACAUAGUACAGAUGUAUUAAUUACAAAGAUAAGAAAGUGGUACAACUAGUUAAUGCCUUGAUUCUUUUUUUGGACUAGUCUACUAGGCUUUAUUAGCUGUAUGUACGCGCCUUGGGAACUUCACCUUGAUCCAUCGAGACCACUAAUUUACAUUGCCUUGCGGCCGGUCAUUAUUCACACUACCUCGAAGUCGAUCACCGAGAAUCCUUAGAGUCUAUCACUGAAAAUACUUCCUUGAUGAUCGUAAAAUCGAACCGUCGCUUUCUACCGUAUACAGAUAGUACCCGCGUUUCGUAGAACAAUGUGAUAGGAAACGAUUUUGAACUCAUACUCCUUAAGCAUCAUUAUCAUGACGUCAUCCCAUUAGAGCAUUAAAUUCCAUAACUCAAAAGUCGCACAAUGGUCGCCGUCAAACAUGACUAUCGAGAAGCCCACAAACAGCUAUUGGUUCGUCCUUUCCGCUGCCCAUAUGGCUUCUAUAACUGCAUCAGUCAUUUGAUAAUUCACACUUUUACAACAUAUUCAAGUUUUCAAAGCCAAAUCCCUCCCCUUUCACAUUCUUUCUUCUUUCGUUCUUGAUUCUCUGCCUACUUUCUCAAAAAAGCCUUUCCACCAACAUGGCUAGAACUUCCAAGACAGUUCCUCAGAAAAACAAGGCUAGCUCUUCAUCUCAAAUAUCCAAAGGAAAGCCUAAAGUGAUACCCACCGUUGAACAGUGUACCCCUACUGAAUUCAACACGGCGAAGGAUUUUUCCGUCGACAGAUCCUCGUCUACACUGGGCUGAUCUGAACACAUGUCUCCGUAUAUUAGUGUUGUGACCGAUACAGGAAAAGUGAAAGAAGACUUUCAAUGGAGGGAGGCAGUGCUGGUUGAGAUCCCCCAUUCUAACGAGAGCAUAACAUACCACAAGGCUGGCUUCCUUUAUGUAUAUACAUACGCAUUCACUUUAGGUCCGGUCGAUUGAUCGAACCCUUCUUCCCCGGUGAUAUAUCCGGUUAUUCUCGACUUCUGCAACAAGUACCGAGUGAUUCUUGGCCAGAUCUAUCCAAGAAUCAUAGUAAAAUCCUUCUUUCCACCUAUAUCAUAUUUUUAGGCUUCUCCCCCUUAUCCUCCAUCCUAAAAAAUUUUGGCCACUAUGUUUACGCAAGCUUUUGCGACGGAGUACAAAUGAGACCGCCUCCCGACGGUGAGGUGGAGACUUCGGAGCUUGAUAAGGGCAAGAAGUGGAAGAAAAAGGCGGCUGCUGAUUCUCCUGUGGCUAAGAAAGCUAAAUCAUGCAGGCCUAGAGGUUCCGCUAGGACCUCGACUUCAGCUUCUGGAGCAAGUCCCAGUACUAGCGAUGAAGACGAUGAUAGGAUAAGUACUGUUUGGUACAAAGGAUGAGGUCGGGUGCGGAUGUCCCACAUGUAGAGACCACUAAAUUGGGAACGGUCGAUUCAGAUCGAUCCCGUGCGGUGGAGACCCUCGAGGAUGGUGCGAACAUGGUCCUUGAGCCCCUAAUCAGAUGUGGUGCAGUUCCUAUUGGGGAGACCGUUGCUGCUAGUUCAAAAGGGUCCGGGCCCAGAGCUUUUCAGGGCCAGGAUUUUCCCUUUGGUGACAUCGAUGCCCUGGGUGGCCUUAAUUUGUGUCCUCAGUUCUCGUCUGGGGAGUUAAGGGACGCUCAGGACCCAAAUGUUGCCAACGUGGGGGGUCCUCUCAAGGGGGAGAUAAGCUUGGUAACUUCCUUGAUGACGUAGACGAUGUCAGCGAGGACAUCGAUAUCGAUGCUCCCAACUCUAUCGAGGCACCGGAGAAGUUCCAGUGGUAGGUGAUAGCUGAUCAUGUAUACUUUUCUACUCUCAAACAUAUUUCCUCAUUUUUCUGAAUCUCCUGCUUCUUUGUAGUGUAAGGACAUGUAUGAUCAUGCCUUCUUUAGGCUCCAAGAUAAGCUUUCAUGUUGUGGAAAUGAGCUCGAGAAGCUCACAUCUGGACUACAGGAGUCGGAGGCCUCCUUUGCCCAAAAGGAGAAGGAUUUAAGCAAGCUUCGGGCAAAUUUGGAGGGAGUGCUCCGAGAAAGGGCUGACCUUGCUGAGUAGGUAACUUGUUAGUCGUAAAUCCGUUCGUCGUUCUCAUAAUUCGAUGUUUACUGACUCAUCUUUUCCUUUGCAGAUCGGGCAGAAGAAUGUGGAAAUCCUCGAGCUGAGGAGGCAAAAUGAGGUAAUGACCUCGGAAUUUGCAUCGACCUAGGGUUUUCUCCAAAAUGCUCGAGAAGAAAUUACUACUCUAUCUGCGACCAUGUCCAAAGUCGAAGAAAAAGUUGCUACUUAGCUGAAAGACGCCGCUACUGUGAAUAAAAUAGCCCGAGAUAUAUCGGUGGAGGCCGAGCAAAAGCUGAUUCGGACUUUCACUCACGCUAGUGCGAAGGCGAGGAUGCAAGCCUUAGAGGAAGCCAGUGCUAAAGGUGCCAAUCUCUCAGCUGAGAUCGAGGAGGCCCGAGAGUCAGAGGAAGAAUUGGCGCUCUUAGUCGCUUGGGACAAAGGUCCCCGAGAUGGUUCAGAGGGUAGUGGCGAUGAAGAGUAGGCCUACAUCAUCCCUGGAGAUUCUACUAUUCUGGGCAAUCAUCCCUCUCAUAGAGCUUUUGUUCUUUGUGCUAGCUCUUUUGUCAUUUCAACUCACAGCCUUUGCCCAAAUCUUCAUCCUCUUCUUCCUAUUUUACCGUAGCCAUAGCUGCUACAUCAAAACCCGUUCAUCAAGGGGAGGAGAGUUUUGCCUCUAUUCCGUGUGCGAUCGAUGGCACACUACCGGUAUCCGGUGAGCUGACCUCGAGGUGCUUUGUCUCGAGGAGAGACUUCACGUUGGAGAGACCUACCAACAUUUAAGGGCAUCGGGAGCAUGCGUCGAGGUUCAUCUCCUCAAUAGGGGAGGGACACCUCGAGAUGAUUAGGAAAGACUACGGAUGGGGAGAAGGAGUGGUACUGCAAGUACCUUCCCUGGAGGAGAGCAUCAUGACCCAUGUCGAGGGGUUUUCGAGCGUGUAUACAUAUCCCAUUAUAUUGGGUCCCUCGACAGGGUCGUGCUUGAAUUUUGUAGGAGGUAUCAGGUUACCCUAGCGCAGGCUCACCCAUCCCUUUCGAAGAUAGUGCUGAUGAUAAGGUACUUUGCGGAUAAGGUCGUGCUCUAAUUCACCCUUAGCCAUCUCGUUAGGUUAUAUCAGCCUCUACAUUACCGGGGCUUGAUUAUUCUAUGACAUCGAUCCACCUGGUCCCCUGCCGUUAACGAAGAAGAGGACGAGGAUCGAGGGUGGAUGAGUGGUUUGUUCGAGCACGGACAAUCGAUAUUAUCCCUAGAGAGUUUUUGCCAUUUCCUGAGAAAUGGAAUUUCACACAUAAGUGGUAUACUUUUAUUUUUAUCGCUUUGUCCAUAGUGGAGGCAGGCUCCGUAAAGGCAUCUUUUCAUUUAAUUUUUUUAGCGAUUCCUUGGUUACCGAACGAGGUCCCUGAUCUAGCUGAAUGGUCUCGUAAGCUGGCAGCUUGCUCGACCUAUGAUAAGCACAAGUGACGAGACAUGUCCAAGGGGAGAUGGGAGGCAAAGCAUCAUGUUAGUUGUUUAGUGGAUUGUAUCCUCAGAAAGGUACUUUCUUUCUAGCGCACUAACUCUGCCACCGCAGGUGUUGGAGGUUUUUCCGAGAUGAGGUUGUGCCCCCUGGGGAGGAGGAGAGAUUGACAACCCCGGGGUCGAGGAUCUAUAAUAAACGGAAAGAGUCUUUGAGGAGUGAGGAUGCUCAUAACGGGGCAAGUACUCUUAUGAGGUUCAAAAGAUAUGAGUCGGCCGAGCUUCCAGCUUCGGAGGCUUCGAGGGACAAGGGUCAUGCGACACCUUCCUCUUCUCCUACCUAAGGCACUUCGGGGGAAACUAAGCCAUCAAACAUAGGCUCGACUCUAGUGAGGCUCACCGGCUUAGAUUUAUGGUAAGCUUUGGUAGCCGGUAUAGGCUUUUUUUGGUUUCACGCCCUCCCCUUCUUAUAGAGUUUUCUUUUACAGGCCUUUGAAAAGCUUAAGUCUGAGCUGCUUCGCUGUGAGGCCAUGCUGCGGAAAGCUUUGGAUGGGGAGAAAUCCCUUAGGCUCCUUUGUACGAAAAAGGAAGAUGAGCUGGUACUCCUGCGGUGCGAGGUGGAUCGAAGUCAGAACCACGAAAACCAUCUCGAAAAUUAGGUAACCUGCAUUUCGUGUCGGUGUAUGCUCCCCCUUCCACUUUUUGAGAUUAAUAUUUUGAUAUUUCAGUUGGAGAGCAAAAUAGAGCAGCUGGAACGACUUUGGGGCGAAGUUGGUUGGGUCAAACGCGAGUUUAACGAGUUGAAGGCUCUGGCAGAUGUCCAAGUUACGACCAAGGAGGAUGCUUUGUCUAAGGCUUCCGCCCUCGAGUUGCAACUCCGGAACGCUCGUGCAAACGAUUCUGUCCGAGCGAAUAUGAUUACAAGGCUCGAGUCUAAGCUUUUGAAGGUGAAGGCUGAGGUUGUGGAUGCUCGGGCCAAGGCUAUGAUGAGCCACACUAAGGCUGACCAAAAAGUGGCGGUCUAUUUGAGGUGUAAAUCUCGGAGGGAAACCCUCGAGGAAACUCAUGCCAGAGGCUUUGACCUAUCGGAAAAGAUAAAGUAGGCGAAGGUGGAAGAAUAUGAUGCUAAAUUCCUUCUGUCUGAUGCUGAGGAUAGCGAGGAUGAGGCCGACGGGUAUAGUCCCUAAGGAGGAUGUAGAUUUCAUUUCCAGUAUCUGUACAAAGUACUUUCAAAGUACGUUAUAAAUGGAGCUUGUAUUUUCUAUCAUAUAUGUAUAAAGGAAAACCUCACGGUUUCAUUUAUCCUGCAUUUCUUUUUGCCUUGAUUUCAGCCAGAUGAGCUGGUCAUUGAGUUAAAAGGAAUCCUUACAUUUGUGGUAUGGCCCUGGGCUCAUUAGGCUGGCCCGUAGGCUCUUACGUGCUUGGUCGAUACGACCUCUUAGUAUAAGCCGGCGUUCGAGCUCUUAUGCUUGUGCUCUUAGGCAUAUUUGGUCUACUAUUUUGGGUUCAGUCUCUGAGUCGGGUAUCGACUCGAGCUCAUUCGACCCUCAAGUUUUUGAAUUUCAAGCUGGCCCUUAGGUUCUUACGCGUUGGGUCAGUACGACCUUUUGUGUGGGCUGGCGACAGUGGCUCUUAUUCUUUGGGUCGAUGCGACCUUUUAUAUGGGCUGGCGAUAGUGGCUCUUAUGCUUUGGGUCGAUGCGACUUUUAAUAUAAGCUUUAUUUUUCCCUCGAUAAGGAUUUUUUGAAAUAAUGUUUGCUUGACUCUUCGACGGUUUGAUAGAAACCUCGAUUGUGAGUCAUUAUAUGGUGAUAAACAAGCCCCUUGUGAGGUUUGGCUCGGUGGCUGAGUAUCUUGAAGCCUGUAUUUAGGAGCUGACAUGGUCGAAGCUCUUUUGCCUAUGUCGAGGGUAGCCUGUUUAAUCAGUUCUUUUCGAAGGUAGCCUAUGUCGAGUAAUUGAAGGCCUGUGAUUUUAUAGCGACAGUCGGGCGUCCCCGAGUCAUGUUAGUUUGGAUGGUACAACCUUGUGACUGUAGUCAUUUGUGUUCUGCUAGAGCCUUUCAGUCCCGAGUGAAGUAGUUUCAACGUCUAUAUCGAGGGUAUACCUAUUUAGGGGUCUUACAAGUUCGAUAUAUAGCUUUACUUUGAGAUUGGGUUUAUGCCUUUAGUAAGAACUUACAAGUUUUACAUGCCUUUGAGGUCUUACAGUUUUGGAUACUUGGUACAAGUAUUGUUCAUUCCUUGCUUGAGGUCUUACAAAUAUUGUCACUUGGUACAAGUGUGGUUCAUGCCUUGCUUGAGGUAUUACAAAUAUUGUCACUUGGUACAAGUGUGGUUCAUGCCUUGCUUGAGGUCUUACAGAUAUUGUUGUUGCCUUGUAUAGGUGUUACGAGACCGAGGUUGCCCGCAUGUGGUCUUAUGACCUCGGGUUUUGAUAAGUCGAUGGAGAUAGUGAUUGACGGCAGUCCCCGAGUCAUCGAGGAUUUCUCGGCUCGAGAGACAUUACUUGUAAACUUGGUAUUGCCUCAUUAAGGGCUUACGAUUUCGGAGUUUCCGACCCGGAGGUCAUGUGGCCUUGAGUUUUCGAUGCCAGUCCCCGAGUGUUUGGACAUUUUUGGCUCUAGAGCUAUUUUGUGAUCUUGUUGUUGCCUCAUUAAGGGCUUACAAAUUUGAAGUUCCGACUCAGGGAUCAUAUUGUUUUGUGUGGUUUAUGCUAGUACCCGAGUGUUUGGUACGUUUUUGACAGAGGAAUCUUUUUUGCAAAAAUACCGAGUUUCUUUGAUUACUUGGUACAAGUAUACAUGUUUUUACUUUUACGGGCUUGGUUGUUCUAUGCGGACACGGUUCGUUCGACCGUUUAGCCAGGUACAUUAUUUUCCUAUCUAGACCCCACUUAGCGCAACUUAGCUUCUCCGAGUAGGUGACCUUCGAGGGGGAUGCCCCCUUGUAUUUGAGGUUUAAUGCAAAAGAAGCCUUGAAUACUUCUUGGGUCUUCCUUAGGUAGAUAUAGAUGUUGCCUCGUUAAAAACCUUGCCGGUAAAACCCUUCUUGGGAUAAAAAUCCGAUCGAAGGAAAAGAGUGCAACUCAUGCUUUUGAAACCUAAGGCCUUCGAGCUGGGAAGAGCUUCGGUUAUUUCGACCGGAUACCUGCAUUUAGGUUAGUAUAAAAUGUAACUGAAAAGGGGUUUAGCUAUACCUUAGUGCUGACGGUGCUUAGGAUCUUGAUGUGAUUCAAUUGCUUGUUAUGAGGACUCGGUACGGUCCUUUGUUUUGUUUAGUUGUGGUAGCCGAGAGUGUAGCUUCUUAUCGCUAUUUUACUGUUUGCUUAUCCUUUGGCUCCAUCGAGGCUGGAGGUACUAGUGUCGGCAUUACAUCGUGCACUGAGAACAUUUCUCUUGCCGUAUGUUCUUCCCCGUAGACGGUUUUAAUCCCAUCCUUUGUCGGGAAUUAAAUCAUUUGAUGGAGGGUGGAUGGCACUGCUCUCAUGCAGUUUAUCCAUAGCCUUCCGAGAAAGGCGUUGUACCUCAUAUCUCCUUUGAUGACAUGGAAUUUGGCAUUUUGGGUUGUGCCGUCCACGUUGACUGGGAGGACUCGAGAGGCGGGCACAAUUUGGUCAAGCAGUCUCAGCUGCUCUACCACCUUCGGCCUGAUAAUGUUGGCCGAGCUACCUGGAUCUACAAGUACACAUUUAAUUUGAAAUAUAUUUACAAGGAAAGAGAUUACCAGUGCAUCGUUGUGAGGUUGAGACAAGGUCUUGAUGUCAUUAUCGUUGAAUGUGAGAGCAUCUUUGGGUAUGUAACCCCGAGUUCGCUUUUCUCUGGUGAUGGAUAUUUUUGUUCUUCUCAUCAUGGGAUCAUGUGGGGCAUUGAUGCCUCCCAACAUCAUGUGGAUGACAUGUUGUGGCUCAUUUGGUUUGUUCUUCUUGGUCGCCUCUCUUUCCCGGAACUGAUUUUUGGCCCGGUCGUUGAGAAAUUCUUGGAGGUGACCUUUACUGAGUAGUCGGGCUACUUCUUCUCGGAGCUGGUGGCAAUCCUCGAUCUUUUGUCUGUGCGUGUUAUGAAAUUCACACACUAAGUUAUGAUUUCUUUGCUAAGGAUAUGAUUGCACAGGCCUGGGCCACCUGAUGUCUCUAAUUUUACUGAUGGCGAACACGAUGUCUGAUACGUCAACGUUGAAGUUGUAUUCCGACAAGCGAGGUGCCUCUGUUGGCCCUGUGUGCCUACCGAAUCUAGCUCUAUUGACGAGCCCCCAAGGAUUCUAGCCUCGGUCCAUCCUUCAAUCAUUGCGGGGCAUGUUGCGCCUCGGGGCAUUUCUCCUAUCUUCGGUGUAUGGCUGGUACCUUUCUUUGUUUGGCUUUGGCUCCUUCACCAAAAGCCUACUUGGGUAUAUCGAGCCCGAGAGGGCUCCUAGUUGGUCCUCCUCGACCCUAAUUUUCGAUUGAUAUCGGUUGUGAAUGUACGACCAGGUCACGAUGAGAUAUUCAACCAGAUUCUGUUUCAGCUGCUUCGAAGCCACUGAGCUUCGUUCAUUCAGACCUUGAGUGAAGGCCUGUACUGCCCAGUAGUCGAAGAAUAUUGGUAGUUCUAUUUGUUCUAAUUGAAAUCGAGAUACGAACUCUCGCAGCAUCUUAUUCUCCCUCUGCUUGAUCUUGAAGACGUCAGUUUUCCUUGUUGCUACUUUGAUGGCACCGACAUGUGCCUUUAUGAAAGAAUCUGCCAGCAUGGCAAAUGAGUCUAUAGAGUUAGGAGCUAGGUUGUGAUACCACAUCAUGUCCCCUUUCGACAGUGUUUCCCAUAAUUUCUUCAGUAAGACGGAUUCGAUCUCAUCGUACUUUAGGUCGUUUCCCUUCACUACGCAAGUGUAGGCAGUGACGUGCUCAUUGGGGUCCGAGAUUCCAUUGUACUUUGGAAGCUCGGGCAUUCUGAACUUCUUUUGAAUGGGUUUUGGGGCCGCUUCCUGCGGGAACGGAUUUUGCACGAACUUCGUCGAGUCUACCCCUUUUAGAAUCGGGGGUGCGCCUAGUAUUUGAUCGACCCUGGAAUUCUAGGUCUCCGUCUUCUUGUCGCUGGCUUCUAUCUACUUCUCGUCCGACUCGAUCCUCAUUGUGAGGUCCUCAAGCAUCUUUACGAUGGUGGGGUCGAUUGCCGACCCAUUGUUGCUUGAUCUCUCUGGUACCUGCUCGGCUGGGGGGGUCGUCCCCGGUUCUACCAUGCUGGGAGUUUUCUAGUGACUUUGCAGUUGAGCAAUCACCAGCUGUUGUGCCUGUAACAUUUCAAAAAUAACAUGAAGGUUAACCUCUCAUUCUUCCCUAGUUGGGGUUUUCUGAGCUUCUUGUUGGUCUCCUUGAUGCACGCUCCAGUUAAUGUGGGAGCACGUCGCGUGAGACUGCAUCCACGGGAAUUGGUUCUAGUGCGUUCUCAGGGUUUUGUGGUGGUACGCCAACACCUGGAACAUCCACACCAUUCUCUCCAUAGUUCUCAAGAUUGUUGUUGACUGAGUCAUACAUUUCGACCUGAAAUCAAAAAACUUGGGCAAGAAAAAGUGUGAAAGAUAACUUGCAUUGUGUAGUAAGACCAACAAGAAAAUAAUCACUAUUAUUUUUAGCCUCACGAUGGGCGCCAAACUGUUUACCGUGAAAAUGAUAAUUACAAUUAAAUCUGAUUUUGCGGUUCUAAAAAUACGUGAUCUAUUUUUGUUCUAGUUGUUUGGGCAAUAGAGGCUAAGUGAGGUACUUGGAAUCAAGAUAAGAGCUUAAAAACAAGAUGUUAAACAAACCGAAUAGCUAUCAAUCGGGGCCUCGAGUUUACUUAUUCGAGGCCUCGGGGUCGAGUCUGAUGUCCGCCGAGGGUGAUCGAGGGACGACUAACAGUUAUAAUCAAAUCAAUGAUGGCUCUUUAUCGCCAAUAAUAAGAAAUAAAUGAAAAUCCAUAAAUAGAACACAAUGGAUAUGAACAAUAAAUGCAAGUAAUGAGAUCAAGAGAAUAUGCUAGAGAGCAGAGAGAAUGUUCUUGUGUAUUUAGUAUUGAGCAACAUGUAUUUACAAAAGGACAAGUAUCCCCUUUAUAUAUAAGGGGGAAUCCCAACAUAGUACAUAUGCAUUAAUUAUAAAGAUAUGAAGAUGGUACAGCUAGUUAAUGCCUUGAUUUGUUUUUUGGACUUGUCCACUAGGCUUUGUCAGAUGUAUGUACGUGCCUUGGGAACUUCACCUUGAUCCAUCAAGACCACUAAUUUACAUUGCCUCGAGGCCGGUCGUUAUUCACACUACCGCGAAGUCGAUCACCGAGAACCCUCGGAGUCGAUCACUGAAAAUCCUCGAGAUGCCUUGAUGAUCGUAAAAUCAAACCGUUGAUUUCUACUAAUAACUAGGAUUUUUGUGGUAUAUUUUAGUCUGAAAAAGGUCCAAACACUUCAUAGCAUUGAAUACUCCAUUCCUUUGGAGCUUUUUAAGGAGAUUCUCUCACUUUUCUUCAUUGUAAGCUUUUAAUAUUUUCUUUCAUGCUUUAAAUAUUAGGAUUGUGGACCCAAAAUAGGUAUAAUAUUAAUGGGUGUUUACCAUUAAAUAUAAAUAUAUAAAUAUAUAUAUAUAUAUAUAUAUAUAAGGGGUUAUUGAUUUCUCUUCAUUUCUCAUGCUUCAUUCAUAGUUGGUGGUUGUAAAUAUUAAUUAAUGCCAUUUUACUUUAUCUUUCAGUUGAAAAAGUGUAUUAGGUUUUGUAGAAAAGAAUAGCAAGAACUCGAGGCUAUAAACCUUGUUUAAUAGAACCGCUUAUGAAUAAGUGGGUCCUACUUGGUAUAUAUUAGUUUCUCUUAAUUGUAACACUUUGGUAUUUGGAAAAUUCAUAAAGAGGAAAUUCAAUGUAAUUAUUGGAAAAUAUUGGGUAGUCACUUAGAAAUCAUUUGCACAUCAAAGGACUUUCCAUUAGAAAUGUAUCAUAUUAAAACUAUAACAUUACAUUCCAUGAAAGGGGACAUAACCUUUAUUUCUUAAUCCAGUAGUCAAAUCUCUUAACAAAAUAGCUUCUCUUCAUAGAUUACAAAGAUCAAACUCUUUCUAAACUAACGGGAUAAAAUUACGAUCUUAUUCAAGUAAUCUUUUGUUACACCCCACAUUUAAAUAAAGCGUGAAUUCUAGCGCGUCCAAUCAGCUGGAGACAUGUUUGAAGCCAGAAGGUGGUCACACGUUUCAGUAGGUCUGCACCAAGUGUCUCGCCGACAACCGGGGUGGGCGACGCAUUUUGCAUGUAGGAGCGGCGAAAAUUCCAAGGCUUGGUAUUAAUAUAAAAUGAUAGUAAGGCUCAUUUUUUUCAUUCUUAGAAGUAUCACUAGAACAAGUUCCCACAAAUACUGUCAACACACUUUUAGAAUUUCCUAUUGAAUUAAGGCAAAGUUGAAGGUGAAUAUGGAUUUGGCAAGAUUUAGGUUGAAGGAACUUGGAGUCGUUAUUGUAACCCGCCAUCGUCUGGUGACACUAAUUCUGAAGACUCGUUAAAGGCAAAGUUAAUCACCAUAGGAGUGUAAUUAGAUCUCCAACAAAAUAUGUGGGGGAAUCUUCUUUCUUGGCAUGAGUUAGCGUAAAUCUCUCAUUCUUUCUAAAUAACUCGUGUACCGAAGGUUUAGUAGUUCCAGGUCCUCUCAAUGAUAUUAUAUUGUUCUUGUGCAUUGUUGCUGGUAGCAUGUCUUAUAAAGUCUAUAUUAUUUCAGUUAGUAUAUCUCUUGAAACUGCUAUUAUAUUAGACUUCAAAUAAUGCAUGGCCCCAACGAGAGGCAUGGUUUUGCAAAGAUUUGGAUGCGUUUAUGAUCCAUGGUCUAUAGUUUUCCACAGUUUGAUCUAUGCCCCCCGACGGCUUGUCUUCGGUAUUUAGGUUGGAAUCACGUACUCACAUUUCUUAUGUUAUGACUCUGAUUUACUUGUGCUUCUUAGUCUUACAUAUUUAGUACAUGAUCCAUACUGACGCCCUUUCCUUUUUGGGUGUUGUGUUCAUGCCCAUAAGUACAAAUAGACUCGGUGACGCCCAUCCCAAGUAGGUUCAUGAUUCAGCUGUUGGUUGUUGCUCUCCACUUCUUCGCAGUAGUUGUUCAAAGGCCAAUAGAUACUGAAGCAGAUGUCAUAAACAUUUUGGGUACGAUGCGACCCUAUCCAGACCAAGUUGUGUAAUAUGUAUAGCUGUUCUGGGAAUCUUAGAGGCUUGCAAACUAGUGUUAGUAUUUGGUUGCAUGUAAUGGCUGGAUAUGACUAUGUUAGUCAUAGUGAUGAUCAUGUAUAAAACGCAUAUAUUGCUUUUGCUAAUUAGUUGUACUCAUUUUAAAUUUUGGUAGACGUUACUAGAAGGCCUCAAAGACCCAGUUUUUUAUGAAUAAAAGUAUGGAAGAUCACACAUGCAUCAGUUCCAUUUGCACCUCCCAAAGUUGGGGUGUGACAAACUUGGUUUCAGAGUAGGUCAUGUCCUCUACAAGCCGUAUUUAUUAGAGUCUUGUUUAUGGGUAUGUGGUGCACCAUACUUAUAAGCAGGAGGCUACAGGAGACGCAAAUCACUAGUUCAAAGACUAAAUGAAAAAGCAGGAGAAGGUACCAGCCAGGUGCCACCUGCCCUUAUGGGUCAACAUGGACCCCAUGAUGAGGUUGAAACUUAGGUUUUGGGGACAACACCACCACACCUGGAUCAUACUAGAGAAGUUUAUGCAUCCCCUAUUCCUCCGCUGGUUGUUCUCGAGCAACAUUUAGACAUGAGGAAUGUAGUGUAGCCUUUGACUUAAUUAGUGGCCUCUCAGGCCCAAUGUCAAAUCCCCGCCACCUCGGAUAGAGCGGUUAUCAGGAGAGUCCGAGAUUUUUUAAAUUUGUACACCCUGGUGUUUACCAUAAUAGAUCCCAACGAAGAUCUCCAGAAUUUUCUAGACCAAAUGCAGCGGACCUUAUGACUUAUGCAUGCCACCAAUACAGAGUCCAUAGAACUUGCCUCAUAUAGAUUGAGGGAUGUUGUUGUGACUUGGUAUGAGACGUGGGAGCAGUAUAGGGGACCUCUUACCCCACUGGGAUGGAAAGAGUUUUUUGAAGCCUUUCUGUAAGGGUAUUUGCCUAUUUAGCUCCACCGAGCUAAGCAUGAUAGAUUUUUACAGUUGGAACAAGGUAAUAUGAGUAUUCGGGAGUACAACAUGCAAUUUAACUCCUUGGCCAAAUAUGCUCUUUUAAUUGCAGCAGAGAUGAGUGAAAGAGUACAUCGAAUCGUGGGUGGACUAGGGCCACAUUUGAUUAAUGAAUGCACCACUACUUCUUUGAGUCUGAACUUGGACAUUAAUCUUAUCCGACGGUAAGUGCAACAUCACAGUUUUAAGAUCAGAUCCAUGGUCGGAUCACCUAUACUGGUCUGAGUUAGAAUCCACGGGGUCAGAGCUCGCAAUUUAGUAGAGGCCCUGGUAAGAUGAGGCCCCUGGUGCCGCAUUGUGGCAGGUGUGGUAGGAAUCAUUUUUGGCAUUGCCGUCAGGGUUCAGAUUUGUGCUAUUCUUGUGGGCAGCCCAGUCACAUCAUGCGUUUUUGCCCAGCAAGAAAUAUGGAUGGCGUGAUACCACCAACAGGAUUGACAACAAAUUAUUGAUUGAUAAUGCAUCCUCGUGAGCAAGGUAUACAGCCGCUGAUGGUAAGGGGUAGAGGUAGAAGUGGAAUGUCUAGCCCGAAUGUGCAACAGCAAAAUCAUAUUUAUGCAUUGUCAGGUCGUCAGAAUUAAGAGUCGUAACCCAAUGUGGUCAUAUGUAUACUAUCUAUAUUCUCCCCUAAUGUGUAUGCUCUGAUAGAUCUAGGAUCCACGUUGUCGUACAUUUCUCCAUUUGUGUCUAAUAACUGUGGUAAGAAACUUGAAUUGCUACAUCAACCAUCUGAAGUGUCCAUGCCCAUGGGUGAAUACGUGGUAGCUAGGCAGGUGUAUCAAGGUUAUGAUGUGAUGAUUCAUGAUCAAUAUACCUUGGCCUAUUUGAAUCAAUCGGAAAUGAUAGAGUUUGAUGUCACUGUAUACAGCGGAAAUCGAUGACUCGAUUUCAUGGCAUCUCGAGGGUUUCCAGUGAUUGACUCUGAGAAUUCUCGACAGUUACACUUCGAGACAGUAUGAGUAAUGAGUGGCCUCAAGGCAAUGGAAUUAACAGUCUCGGUGGAUCAGGGUGAAGUUCCCAAGGUAUAUACAUAUAGCUGGCUAAGUCUAGUGGUCUAGUCAGAAAAGCGAAUCAAUGCAUUAAAUGGUCGUACUAGCCCAUAUUUUUGUAAUUAAUGUAUUUGUACUAUGUUGGGAUUUCCCCUCUUAUAUAAAGGGUAUCCUUGUCAUUUUGUAAACAUUUGUUGCUCCAUACUGAAUAUACAAGAACAUUCUGUCUGCUCUCUAACAUAUUCUCUUGAUCUUAUUACUUCAUUUAUUGCUCGUAUUUAUUGUGAUUCUAUUCAUUGUUCGUCAUUUAUUGCUUAUUAUCGGCCAUAAAGAGCCUCCCUUGAUCUAUUUGUAACUGUUAUUCGCCAUCGACCGCCUUCGAUAGCUCCUAGCCGAGCUUCGGACUCGACCUCGAGGCCCUCGAAUAGGCAAGCUUGAGGCCCCAACCGAUAGCGAUUCGGUUUAACUAACACCUCAUUCUUAAGCUCUUAUCUCGUUUCUAAGUCUUUCACAUAACAUCUACUGCCUAACAACUGGCAUAAAAAUAGAUCACGUAUUUUUAGAACCACAAAAUUAAAUUUAAUUGUUAUUACCAUUUUCACGGUAAACAGUUUGGCGCCCACCGUGGGGCUUAAUAUAAUAGUGAUUAUUUUCUUGAAGGUUUAGCUACACAAGGCAAGUUAUCUUUCACGCUUUUUCUUGCCCAAGAUCUUUGAUUUCAGGUCAAAAUGUCCGACUCAGUGAACAACAAUCUUGAGAACCACGGAGAAAAUGGUGUAGAUGUUCGGGGUGCUAGUGUCCCACCACGAAACCCUGAGAACGCACCAGAAUCGAUUCUCGUGGACGCGGUCUCACGCGAUGCUCAACAUGUCGAUGUAAGCUCCCACACUAACAGGAACGUGCACCAAGGAGACUGACAAGAAGCUCAGGAAACCCCGGCUAAGGAAGAAUGGGAGGUUAACCUUCACGUUAUUUUUGAAAUGUUUCAGACACAACAGCUUAAGAUUGCUCAGCUACAAAGUCACCAAAAAACUCCCAGCACAGUUGCUCCGGGGACGGCUCUCCCGACCGAGCAGGUACUAGAGAGGUCAACCAACAAUGGGUCGGUAGCCAACCCCGCCAUCGUAAAGAUGCUCGAGGACCUCACAAAGAGGAUCGAAUCGGGCGAGAAGAAGAUAGAAGCCAAUGACAAAAAAGGUCGAGACGUACAACUCCAAGGUCGAUCAAAUUCCAGGCGCACCCCCGGUCCUGAAAGGUGUGGACUCAAAAAAAUUCAUACAAAGGUCGUUCCUAGAAGAAGCGGAUCCAAAACACAUUCCAAAGAAGUUCAGAAUGCCAGACCUUCAGAAAUACAACGGGACCUCAGACCCCAAUGAGCAUGUUACUGCUUACACUUGCGCAGUGAAGGGCAACGAUCUCAAGGACGAUGAGAUCGAGUCCGUAUUGUUAAAAAAGUUCGAGGAAACACUCUUGAAAGGGGCCAUGAUGUGGUAUCACAACCUAGCUCCUAACUCCAUAGACUCAUUUGCUAUGCUGGCAGAUUCUUUCAUAAAGGCCAUGCCGUCAAAGUAGCGACAAGGAAAUCUGACGUCUUCAAAAUCAAGCAGAGGGAGAACAAGAUACUGCGAGAGUCUUCGAAGCAACUGAAACAGAUCCUGGGCGAAUAUCCCGUCGUGACCUGGUCGGACGUUCACAAUCAAUAUCAAUCAAAAAUUAGGGCCGAGGACGACCAACUAGGAGCACCCUCGGCCUUGGUACACCCAAACAGGCCACCGACGAAGGAGCCAAAGCCAAGCAAAGAAAGGUACCAGUCAUACCCCGAAGACAAGAGGAACGCCCCAAGGCACAACAUACCCCGCAACGAUCGAAGGAUGGACCGAGGUCAGAAUCCUCGGGGACUCAUCAACAGAGCUGGCUUUGAUAGGUACACAGGGCCGACAGAGGCACCUUGCUUGUCAGAAUACAACUUCAACGUUGAUGUAUCGCACAUUGUGUUCGCCAUCAGUAAAAUCAGAGACACCAGCUGGCUAAGGCCCGUACAAUCAGAUCCUUCACAAAGGAACCAUAACUUAGUGUGUGAAUUUCACAAAAACACGGACACAUGACCGAAGAUUGUCGACAACUCCGGGAAGAGGUAGCCCGACUACUCGACAAAGGUCACCUCCGGGAAUUCCUCAACGAUUGAGCCAAAAAUCAGUUCCGGGAAAGAGAGGCGACCAAAAAGAACGAAGCAAAUGAGCCGCAACAUGUCACCCAUACGAUCUUUUAUGGUGUCAGUGUCGUGAAGAAACCACGGUCGGGAGAACGAAAAACAUCCCUCACCAGGAAGAGGAAAACUCGAGGCUCUAUCUCAGCCCCGUAACGACGCGCUGGUAACUUCUUUUCUUAUGGAUACAUUUCAAAUUAAACCUAUGCUUGUGGUUCCAGGUAGCUCGGCCAAUAUUAUCAGGUCAAAGGUAACAAAGCAGCUUGGACUACUCGACCAAACUAUGCCCUUCCCUCAAACCCUCAAUGAAUUUAACACGACAUCCACAAGGCAUAUUCUCGGUUGUUCUAAAUGAACAAAUAAAGGGCUGUACCGCACUCUUCGAGCAGAUAGCUAAAGGCCUACCGAGGUUCAAAGCGUCAUCGCCAACAAGGCCGAGCUUUUAUCCCGAAAAGGGUUUUACUGGCAAGGUUUUUAAUGAGGCAAUAUCCAUAUGCUACCUAAGGGAGACUCAACAAUUAUUAAGGGCUUCCUUUGCAAUCAACCUCGAAUACUGGGGGACAUCACCCCGGAAGGUCACCUACUUGGAGAAAGCCAAGACACAUCGAGUGCGGUCUCGAUAGGAAGAUAAUGUACCAGGCCAAACGGUCAAACGAACUGUGUCCGUAUAGAACAACUAAGCCCUUAAAUAGCAAAGAUAUGUAUACUUAAACCAAGUAAUCAAAGAAUACUUCACAAAAGCAUUUUGCGUGUCAAGAAAGCUCGACUUCUUUUGCAAAAAAAUGGCUCCAGAGACAAUAGACAAACCGAACAAUCGGGGAUUGGCAUCAACAACUCACAAAAUGUCUUAAGAGCCAAAAGAUGACCUGAACACUCGGGGACUGGCGUAAAAAACUCAAUACCAUAUUACCUUUGGGUCGGAAAUUCCAAAAUCGUAAGUCCUCAAUGAGGCAAUACCAAGCUUAGUAGUAAUGGAUCCCGAGUCGAGAAACCCUCGAUGGCUCGGGGACUACCGUCAAGCACCACCUCCAUUGACUUAUCAAAACCCGAGUUCAUAAGGCCACAUGUGGGCAGCCUCGGUCUCAUAAGACCUACAUAAAGAAACAGCAAUAUUUCUAAGAUCUCAAGCAAGGCGUGAACAAUACUUGUACUAAGUAUCCAAAACUGUAAGACUCAAAGGCAUGUAAAACUUGUAAGACCUUACUAAAGGGAUAAACCUGAUGUCAAAGUUUCAUCUAUAUAUCGAACUUGUAUGACCCAUAAAAAGGCAUACCCUUGAUAUAGAUGCCAAACCUACCUCACUCGGGACUUAAAGGCUACGGCCAAGCACAAAUGACUCCGGUCACAAGGUUGUACCAACCAAACUAACGCGACUCGGGGACACCCGACCGUCGCUAUAAAAUCAUAAGCCUUCAAUUACUUCGAAUAUACUUCGGAAAGAACCGGUUAAACAGGCUACCCUCGAUACAGGAAAAAGAGCUUCGACCAUGUUAGCUCCUAAAACACUGGCUUUAAGAUACUUAGCCUCCGAGCCAAACCUCCCGAGGUGCUCGAUCAUCGCCUUAUAAAGACUCACAAUCGAGGUUUUUUGAACCAUCGAAGAGUCAGGCAAAUAUUAUUUUAAAAAAUCCUUAUCGAGGGAAAAAUAAAGCCCUCAUAAAAGGUCGCAUCAACCCAAGGUGUAAGAGCCACUAUCGCCAGCCUGCAUACAGUAAAAGGUCGCAUCGACCAAAAGCUUAAGGGACGAUUGAGCUCGAGUCGUAACUCAAUUCGGAUAUUGAACCCAAAACAGCUAACUAAAUAUGCCUAAGGGCAAAAGCGUUUCGCCAACUUAAAAUUCAAAAACUUGAGGGUCGAAUGAGCUCGAGUCGUAACUCGAUUCAGAGAUUGAACCCAAAAUAGUUAACUAAAUAUGUCUAAGAGUAUAAGUGUGUAAAAGCCUACGGGCCAGCCCAAUGAGCCUCAAGGUCAUACCGUGAAUCUAAGGAUUCCCUUCAACUUAAAGACUAGUUCAUCUGGCUAAAAUCAAAACAAAAAGAAAUGCAGGAGAAACAAAACUGUGACGUUCCCCUCUUUAUACAUACACGCGAAAAAAUACAAGCUCUAUUUACAACAUACUUCGAAAGUACUAUGUACAGAAUCAAAAAAGGAAGUCUAUAUCCCCCUUUGGGACUAUGGCUCGUCGGCCUCAUCCUUGCUAUCCUCGGCAUCGGACAGAAGGAAUUUACCAUCAUAUUCUUCCUCCUUGGCCUGCUUGACCUCUUAGAAGAGGUCUAACUUGCAUGAAUUUCCUCGAGGGUUUCCUUCCGAUAUUUACACUUCACGUACUCUUUAAUAUUGUUAUCACGAUCGAGAGCUUCCCUCAGCUCAGCUCUAGCAUAGGCAACGCCCUUCAUAUAGGACGCAUGUAUAAAGUGAAACCGGAUUGUCUAAUUUCUCGCCAUUAAGGUGUAUUUGGGGUGUCAUAUCGAUAUCUCGAGGUUGCGGGAUUGCGGCCAAGUUCUCUCCCUCGAAAUCCAUUCACAUUUGACCCAGCAAUGACCCCUAGGGUAGGGAAUCCCCGAUGCGAGCAAAUGGCGCCAGUAGAGUCUAACAUCAUGUCUAGCCGUCCUAUAUCUGUGUCUUUACACUUAAUGCAUUCUGUACUAUGUUGUAUUCCUCCUCCUAUAUAAAGGGGAUCCUCACCACUUUGUAAAGGGCUGUUGUUGCUCCAACCGUUCUACACAAAAUCAAUAAUAUCUCUCUCUCUCUCUCUUUUCUCUCUAACUCACUCUCUCGAGGCUACUCUUUUCAUUUAUUUCUUUCAUAUUUGUUCUUCAUUUAUUGCUUGAUAUUGGCCAUAAACAACCUUCUUUAAUUAUAUCUUAAUUGUUAUCCCUUUCUCGGUUACUCCCGAUAGCUCGAGCUCGAGCCGAAUAUCGACCUCGAGGCCUUUUAUCGAUCAGUCUGAAGCCCAGGUAGAAAGCCCCUCGGUUUGAUUAUUGCCCCAUUCUAGCUUCUAUUUCGUCAUUAAACUUCAUAUGCAUAGCAUCAACUACUUUAACAACUAGCAUAAAAAUAGAUCACGUAUUUUUAGAGUCCCAUUUACAAAUUUGAUUGUUAUUACCAUAUUUACGGUAAACAGUUUGGCGCCCACCGUGGGGCUAAAAAUAAUAGUGAUUAUUUUCUUGAUGGUUUCAUUACACNNNNNNNNNNNNNNNNNNNNNNCUGGCUCGGUAAACAGAGUUGAGAAUGACUACCUUGAAAAUCACGGAGAAAAUCAGUCUGGUGCGCCACUGCAGAACCCCGAUAAUUCACCUGGACUGAUUCUAGCGAACGUGGGUUCGCAAGACAUGUAGCAGGUCGUCGAAACCUCACACACCGACAAAAGCAUACAACAUGGCAACCAAUAGGAAGCCCAGAAGACCCCGACUCGCGAAGUACAGGAAGUUAGUCUUCAUGAUAUUUUUGGAAUGUUGCAGGCACAAUAGUUGGCUAUCGCCCAGUUGCAAAGCCACCCGAAGACUCCCAGCACAGUAGCGCCGGAAACUAUCCCCCAACCGGACGGGUACCAGAGAGGUCAAGCAACAACAGAUCAGUAGUCGAUCCUACCAUCGUGAAAAUGCUGGAAGACCUUACCAAAAGGAUCGAGUCAGGCGAGAAAAUGAUAGCAGCCAACGAUAAGAAGGUCAAAACUUAUAACUUUUGAGUUGACCAAAUCCAAGGCGCGCCACCGGUACUGAAAGGUGUAGAUUCGAGGAAGUUCGUGCAACGGCCAUUCCCAAAGGAAGCGGCUCCGAAACCCAUUCCAAAGAAGUUCAGAAUGCCAGAACUCCCAAAAUACAAUGGGACCUAUGAUCCCAACAAACACGUCACAAAAGACGAUGAGAUCGAGUCCGUCUAACUGAAAAAGUUCGGAGAAAUGCUCUCGAAGGGGGCCAUGAUGUGGUACCACAACCUAGCGCCCAACUCCAUAGAUUCGUUUGCAAUGCUAGCAGAUUCCUUCGUAAGGGCGCACGCGGUGCUAUCAAGGUAGAAACAAGGAAGUCUGACGUAUUCAAGGUUAAGCAGAGGGAGAGCGAAAUGUUGCAAGAAUUCGUGUCUCGUUUCCAGAUAGAACGAAUGGAACUACCCCGGGUCUCUAAUGGCUGGGCAGUGCAGGACUUCACUCAAGGCCUGAAUGAAUAAAGAUCGGUGGCCUCAAGGCAGCUGAAAGAGAAUCUGAUCGAGUAUCCUGCCGUAACCUGGUCGGACGUCCACAAUUGAUACCAAUCAAAGAUCAGGGUAGAGGAAGACCAGCUGGGAUCCCCCUCGAGCUCAGUAUAUCCGAGCAUACUCUUAGAGAAGGAGUCAAGAUCGAAUAAAGAGAGGUACCAGUCGUACCCCGAUGAUAGGAGGAAUGCUCCAAGAUGCAACCCGCCUCGCAACGAUCGAUUGGUGAACAGAGGACAGAACCCUCGGGGACCCCUCAAUAGAGGUGCCUUAGACGGGGACACAGGGCCAACGGGGGCACCUCACCUAUCAGAAUACAACUUCAACGUCGAUAUAUUGGACAUCGUGUUCGCCAUUAGCAAAAUCAGGGACGCCAGAUGGCCCAGGACUAUACACUCGGAUACUUCCCAAAGAAACUACAACUUGAUUUGCGAGUUUCACAACUCGCACGGGCACAGAACCGAGGAUUGCAGGCAACUCCGAGAGGAAGUGGCCCGACUGCUCGACAACGGGGACCUUCGGGAAUUUCUCAUUAACCGGGCUAAAAACCAGUCCCGAGAAAGAGAAACAACCAAAAAGAACAAAGCAGACAAGGCCCAACACGUCAUCCACAUGAUUUUUUGAUGCUUGCUCCCGGACGUAUUCAAAUAAAGAACUACAUAACAUCCGCCAAACGAAUGCCGGAACCCGAAAGCGCCAUCGCCACUAAGAUAUAAUCACCUCUCCCUUUCUCUAUGUUUUACUUCAUGCUAACUCUUGUGCAGGCCAUCGACCAAGGCAGUCGGGACGCCACUCUGGCUCGAGGACCCUGAGGUUUCAAAGCCUCCGCUGCACUCUUUUCCUUUGACCGUUUUUUAUCCUGAAAUGGGUUUUUGCUGGUAAGGUUUUUAAUGAGGCAACGUCCACACACUUCCUAAGAAGGAUACAAUAGGCCUACCGAAUUUUCUUCACAAUCAACCCUGUACCGGGAAAUGACAAAUAAGGUUCCAAUAGGAAACGGUAUACCGGGACAAACGGUCAAAUGAACCGUGUCUGCACAAGCCGGGCUUACGGCAACACAAUGACAUGUAUUUACGCCAAGCAAUCAAAGAAUAUCUUUCGCCUAAAGCAUCUCAUACUCCAUGACCUCAGGGUCGAAACUUCGUGCUCAUAAGGCCCCAACGAGGUAAUUCUAAGCUCACGAGUAACGGCCUUCAAGACUAAGCAAACUCGAUGACUCAAAGACUGUCGUCAAUUUCCAUUCAUUGGAAAACCCGAGGCCGUAAGACCUCGAGCGGGCAAACUCGGUCUAGCCAGAUAUAUUUUACAUAAAAACAAAAAAUGGUAAGACCUCAACAGGCAUGAAAAAACUGUAAGACCUCAACAGGUAUGAAAAAAUUGUAAGACCUCAACGGCAUGACAAAACUAUAAGACCUAAACAGGCAUGAAAAAACUGUAAGACCUCAACGGCAUGACAAAACUGUAAGACCUAAACAGGCAUGAAAAUUUUGUAAGACUUUACCACAGGCAUAAAACUCGAUCCCAAAGUUUAUGCUAUAUGUCGCAUUUGUAAGACUCCCGAAAGGGCAUACCCUCAAUGUAGACGCCUAAACUGCCACACUCAGGAUCACAAAUGGCUUCGGCCAAACACAAAUGACUACGGUCAAUACGGCCGCACCAGUCAAANNNNNNNNNNNNNNNNNNNNNNNNNUUAACAAGGGAAAAGCAAAGCCUACAUAUGCCUAAGGGAAAAAGCGUAAGAUCCAUAGUCUCCAGCCAAACGAGCCUCAGGGCCACACACUAAAAUGAGGUCGAGUCGUAACCCGAUUCGGAGACCAGAUCCGAAAUAGUUAACUACACAUGCCUAAGGGCAUAGCAUAAGAGCCAUCGUCACCAGCUCCACAAGCCUCAGGGCCACAUACAUAAUAGGUCACUUCAACCCAAGGCGUAAGAGCCAUUGUCGCCAGCCCUUGCAGACGUAAAACUUGAGGGUCGAUUGAGCUCGAGUCGGAGCCCGACUCGGAGACUGAACCCAAAAAUGGUUAAAAUGAGCACGCCCAAGGGCAAAAGAUAAAAGCCGUUGUCGCCGGCCUAACGAACAUCAGGGCCAUAUUACAGGUUUGGAUAUUUCUACCAAUCUAAAGGUCGAAUAGACCCGAUUGAGAUCUUGACAAAUAGAAAUACAGAAGAUACAAAUUGCGAGCUUCCCUCUCUUAUUUUUACAUAUAGGCGGUGAAACGCAAGCUCAGUCUACAACAUAUUAUGGAAGCUAUGUACACAAGAAGGAGGCAGGGAAUAAACGUUCCCGCCUUCGGCAACUAUAGCCCAGCGGCUCCCUCCUCACCAUCUUCAACAUCGGACAGAAGGAACUUGGCACCAUACUCCUCCCCUUUGGCUUGCUCGAUUUCCCCCGAGAGAUCGAAGCCCCUGGCAUGAAUAUCCUCGAGGACUUCCCUUCGGGAUCUGCACCUCGCAUACUCCUUGCUAUUGCUUGCAAGAUCAAGGGCUCUCUUCAGCUCAACUUUAGAAGCGAGAGCACUCUUUGAAUAGGCCGCCACUUUUUGUCCCGCCCUAGUAUUACUCAUCACAACCUCGGCCCAAACAUUCACCACCUCGGUCUUCGCGUUUAAAAGCUCAGACGAAAGCCUUGCGAUCAUGUUCGCCUGAGCAAAAUCGUUCACACGAACGGUCUGGAUUUGUGCCUCAAGAGCGGAAACCUUGGCUUGAGCCCUCUCUUUGGCGACAAAAUGGGCACUUACAUGCACCCGCAGCUUGUUGAAUUUGCAUUUGGCUCGGCCAACCUCACCCUAGACCUGUCCUAGCUCAUUCGCCUUAUCCUCCAACUGAAACAUCGAAACAUCAGGAUGCGAAGACAGAAAGGGAGUGCAAGCCAGCAUAAAGUACAGGGUACCUGUUUCUCCAGGCGGAUCUCAUGGCUCCGGCUCUGGUCCACCUCACGCCAUAAGGAAACCAGCUCGCUUUCCUUCGCCUCACAAAGAAGCUUGAGGGAUUUCUCCCUAUUCAAAGCCUUCCACAACGGGGCCUCGCUAUGAAGCAGCUCGAAUUUAAGCUUGUCAAAGGCCUGUGAAAGAAAGCUAAAUAAAGAAAGAGAAAAGGGGAAAAAGAAAAGCAAGGGGCUGGAAUAAUCUUACAGCAGUCAAAACUCACCAUAAGGCCAAACCGAGAUGCCUCGCCGAAGGCCGAAACAACGUCCAAUGGCGUACCACUCCCAAAAGAUGGUCGAUCGACCGAAUAGCUUCUCCUUAACUGCUGAGAGGGAGUCGCCUCACUACAAGCCUUCUUUCACCCCGGAGCAUCUUUUCUUUUGUCAACACUCCUUGAUCCCGAGGCCAGCAAUCUCUCCUCCUCCCCCGGAGGACACGACCUUAUUUCGAAAGAACCCCCGGAACCAGCGACAGUUGAAUCAAAUAAGCUGGCAAGAAAAGCGCCAUUUUUUAGGAGACAGAGCACUGAGCACCUACCACGAUGCUUCGCCUCCCAUCUCCCUUUGGACAGAUCUCACCAUCGGCGCCUAUCAUAAAUCGAGCAAGCUGCUAGCUUACGAGACAACUCGGAUAAAUUAGGGACCUCGCUCGGUGACCAAUGGGUUGCUACAAAUAAGGAACAGAAGGAUAUCAUUACGGAGCCUGCCUUCGGUCAAAAUGAUGAUAGUUCAUAUGAGGCACUUACGUGUAAAGUUCCAUUUUUCAAGAAAUGGCAAAAAUUCUCUAGGAAUGACAUCGGUCUUUCGAAUCUGAAUGAAUCCAUUCAUCCAUUAUCGUCCUUAUCCUCCUCACUACCAACCACAUGAGCUCGGGUGGAUCUACGCUGAAGAUCAAUUAGACCCCGGUAACGCAGUGGCCGAUAUAACCUCAUGAGAUGGCUGAGGGUAAACUCUAUCCCGGCCUUAUCGGAAAAAUAUCUCAUCGCCUGCACUAUUUUCCAAAGGGAGGGAUGAGCCUGCGCUAGUGUAACCCGAUAUCUCCGACAGGAAUUGAGCACGACCCGGUCGGGGAAACCCGGCACAAAAACAUGCGUGUAUACGCUCAAAAAUACCUCAACAUAUGUCAUAACGCUCUCCUCGGGAGAAGGUACUUGUAAUAUCACGUCUUCUCCCAUCCGCAAUAUUUUCUAAUCAUCUCGAGAUUUUCCUCUCCCAUUGAUGAAAUGAUCCUCGACACAUGCUUCCGGUGGCCCGGAACAUUGGAAGGUUUCCUCGACGUGACAGCUCUCCCCGAGGCAGGGCAUCUCGAGCAUCGCUCACUUGACAUCGAAGGUGAGCUGCUGGCGCCAAACGAAUGCAGACACAGGAGGAGCUUUCCUCCACCGACGAUCGGAUGUUGACGUAGCAGUCAUGGCUACGGUAAAAUAAGAGGGGAAAGAUGAGGGUCUGAGCAAAAAAAAAUCUUCUUGAAAUAGGGGAGCGGAAGAACUAGAACAAAGCGCUAGGCUCUGCGAAAGAGAUAGCCUUUCAAAGCAGCAAAUUCACCGUUGGAAAGAUGGAUGAAUGAAUAUAUAGGGGCUAAGCAACAACUUCCCACCUACCCAAGAGGCCAAUUAAUUCUAGUCGCGUUAACGUCACCCUCUCCUAGGGAAACGUACUUGCGAAAUUAUCCCUGGGCCAUUUUUAUUGGAUCAUACAAAUAUUGUUACCCCACGAGGCCUCGAGAAGCUCCCUGACAUCACGAGCAUCGAUCCUAGAGAGGCUGUCAAUUUAACCUUGGGGCAUGGCCAAUUUCUAGAUCCCAGUUGCUUUGAGAACAGGUCCCGAAAGGCCAAUGUUGAGAGUCAUGAGCUAAAUCGCGAAAGCAAAUGGGCAAAGAAAGAAGAGACUGAAGAAAGCUGACAGGAGGAAAACCCCUUUUUUUUACAUUGCCAAAAUAUGUAUUCACAAAAAACAUCUUUACACAACCCAUCCCCCGGGGGCCGUAUACAAAGGGAAAGGGAAGGGAUAGAAAAUGACUCAGAGGCUACUCCCCAUCGCUAUUAUCUUUGCCCUCAUCGGGGGCAAUUAAAAGCGCCAACUCUUCCUCCAAUUUGCAGGCUUCCUUGAGAUCAGCUGAUAGGUUGAUACCUCUGGCUCUGAUGUCCUCAAAGGUCUCUCUCCUCGCCUCCGCCUUAGCAUGCUUAAUAGCUCGGGUUAAUUUCUUCCCAGCUGCUAUUGAUAUGUCACGAGCUAUUCUAUGCGUCGUGGCUGCAUCCUCCAGAUAAGUGGCGGCAUUUCGUUUAGCCUCGGACUUGGCUGCGGCCAAAGCAACAACCUCCUUGCGAGCAUCCUUGAUAAGAUCCCGAGAUAUCGCCAAAUCACCAGCCACAAAACAAAGGUGAACCAAUUUAUGUCGGAACACGGGAAUAGAAGUCGGGUACAAGCAAGGCAAAAUACCCGUGCGGUAAGGUCAAACUUUUCAAGAAGCGCCGUUUCCAAAGCAACUCGGGCCUCUCCUAGUUCCUUCCCUCCCUGGGCAAAGCGAACCUCCGAAUCCUGCAGCAUCGAGGUAGCUUUCUUACACUCUUUUUCAUGAUAAGAAAGCUCCUUGCAGAGUUGAAGGAUGGCAUGAUCGUACGUCUCCUUGCACUGCGGUAUAACAGAUAAGUUAGAAAGACAAGGGAUGACGUUUGAGGAUAAAAGAAAUACACGAGAAAUGGCUAUCACCUGCUGCAUGAAUUUCUCCGCCGCUUUACGGCGCUAGGAAUAUCAAGAUCGGCACUAUCACUAACACCAUUAAAGAUGUUGGCAAUAGAGCCUCCCCCUUAGAGAGGAAUCCCUGAUUUGAUGCCAACCACUUUUUAAGCGCUCUGUAGUUCCCCUGACGAGACCUAGAAGCAUGAGAGGAAGUCGUUUAGGUCGCCGACUUCUCCAGAAAGCAACCCAUGCUCUUGAAAGGCUUCGCCCCCGACCCUUUAGGAUCAAUGGCAGUGGUCCCCCCGGCAGAAACUACAUUGAAUCCAGUUGCGCGAUUUGAAGCUACUUUAACACCGUCUUCAAGGGUCUCCGGCUCGCGAGAUCGACCGGAGUCAACCGUUCCGGACUCAGUAGCCUUCGAUCGAGGCACCUAUGAUGCUCUCGCAUUCGACCCCGUCCUCCGCACUAACGCAUGUUCAUCAUCAUUAUCACCCUCUUCCUCGGUGUCAAGAUUUGCCCCUGAAGUCGAAGUAGAGGUCCCGGCAGCGGCUCAGUGCUCGAAGUGACCCAAAUUUCUUUGCCACAUGAAGGACAACAACUGCCUUGCUUUACAUCUUCUUGCUCAUGUCAGGCUCCAAAUCCCCUGGCCUCAUCAGCAUAUUCUCGCCAAGACCUGCAUAAGUGCGGUAACCGCAAUAUGUCACCACCAAGGGCGUGGGGGGAAACACAAACAUAAGACAUAGGCGGUAAGGAAACUCUAUCGUGAUUCUUGGCCACCCAUCGCCCCUUGGCCAGGUCGGUCCAAGACCGAACAAAAUAUGGGAACUUCUCGUCCAACCGCUUGAUCCAUCCCGACAAAUCUAGAACUGCCUCGGGGUACCAAGCAGCGGCUGCAGGAAGCCCAAUGAGAUUGUUAUUUCAAAAAGAAGAAUAGUUGAAAAGCGGUUAAGGGAAAAUUGCUUACGUUGGGUGUUCCACCCCUCCAGAAAGGGCAUCCUCUGGGCCGGGAUGAUAUCCGAGGUCUUUACUCGGAUAAACCUUCUCAUCCAUCCUCGAUCCUUUCCCACAUCGGCGCUCAAGAAAAAUGAUUUUUUGGAUCGAUGAUGGAGCCUGAUUAAACCUCGAUAAAAUCAAGGGUUGUACAUCCUGAUUAUAUGAUUGAGGGUAAAGAUCUCACUCUCAACCCUUUCGAUUAAAUGGCAAAACAUCAAUAUUAUCCUCCAAAAAGAAGGGUAGAUCUGACCAAGCGUCACUUGGUAUCGGUCGCAGAAGUCAAGGAUAACUGGGUCUAUCUCCGGGGGAGACGACUAGGAAGAAUUAUAGGGACCCAGGGUAAAUGGGUAGGUGUACACGUAAAGAAAGCCGAACUUAUGAUUCGUUAUAUUAUCAUUGGGACUGGGAAUCUCCACCCCCACUGCUUCGCUCCAUCGGCAGUCCGUCCUCACCGUGCUAAUAUUGAUCACGAUGCUAACAUAUCGGGACAUAUGCUCACACCGGCCCGGUGUAGAUGAAGUGGCAUCGACAUUAAAAUCCUUUGACAUAUAGAGAUUAGGUGGGGUACACUAUUCAAAAGAAGGAAUCGCUCUCGUUUCCUCCUUAGAUGAUCGAGAUGAUGAUGCAGCGUCGUUCCGCCGAGGAACUGUUCUAGAAGUCCUAGCCAUGUCAAUAGAAAAAAAUUUCUCUAAAAAAAAGAUAGAAGAAUGGAAGAGGCAAAGAGUACUGACUCGUGAAUUUGGAGAUGGGGUGAAAGUAAGAAGUAUCAAACAGUCGAUGCAUUUAUAGGAACCACCUGGGCGGCAGAAAGGAUGAGCCAAUGGCAGUUCGUGGGUUCCUCGAUUAUCGCAUUUGACGACGACCUUUGUAUGGUUUUCUGGAAUAUGGCAUUUAAUGCUCUUAUCGGUUGACGUCACGACAAUCAUGACCUCGAGACGACGGUUCAAAAUCGUUUCCUAUUACUUCAUUCUAGGAAAUGCAGAGACUAGCUGUAUAUGGUGAAAUUGAAGGGUCCCAUUUCUCACCAUUAAGGUGUAUUUGGGGAGUCAUAUCGAUAUCUCGAGGCUGUGGGAUUGCGGCCAAGUUCUCCCCCUCGAAUUUCAUUCACGUUCGACCCAGUAAUGACCCCGAGGGUGGGGAAUCCCCGAGGCGAGCAAAUGGCGUCAGUAGAGUCUGACAUCAUGUCUAGCCAUCCCAUCUCCGUGUCUUUAAACUUAAUGCAUUCUGUACUAUGUUGUAUUCCCCUUCCUAUAUAAAGGGGAUCCUCACCACUUUGUAAAGGGUUGUUGUUUCUUCAACCGUUCUACACAAAAUCAAUAAUAUAUGUCUCUCUCUCUCUCUUUUCUCUCUAACUCACUCUCUCGAGGCUACUCUUUCCAUUUAUUGCUUUCAUACUUGUUCUUCAUUUAUUGCUUAAUAUUGGCCAUAAAGAGCCUUCUUUAAUCAUAUCUUAACUGUUAUCCCCUUCUCGGUUACUCCGGAUAGCUCGAGCUCGAGCCAGAUAUUGACCUCGAGCCAGAUAUCGACCUCGAGGCCUUUCAUCAUUCAGUCUGAAGCCCAGGUAGCAAGCCCCUCGGUUUGAUUAUUGCCUAAUUCUAACUUGUAUUUCGUCAUUAAACGUCAUACGCCUAGCAUCAACUGCUCUAGCAACUCGCAUAAAACUAGAUCACGUAUUUUUAGAGUUCCAUUUACAAAUUUAAUUAUUAUUACCAUUUUCACGGAAACAAUGCCACUUUCUGGUCUGCCCUAGUGCGACUUAUUACGGCCUCGGCUCGGGCAUUCACCACCUCAUCCUUCGCCUUCAAAAGCUCGGACUCGAGCCUUGUGAUCAUAUUCGCUCGGACAAAAUAAUUUGCGUGAGCGUUCCGAAUUACCUCGAGGGCAGAAGCCUUAGCCAAAGCAUCCUCCUUAGCCGCAACUUGGGCAUCUACUCGAGACUUUAACUCGUCAAGCUCACAUUCGGCCCGGACAACUUCGCCCCAAAGACGUUCCAUCUCCUCCGUUUUGCUCUCCAACUGAAAUAUCGAAACAUUAAUCUCCGAAAAUGAAUGGGGGCAUACAUCAACCUGAAAUACAGGUUACCUGUCUUUUGAGACGGCUUUCGCAGUUCUGAAUUCUAUCCACCUCACACCGCAGGUAUACCACCUCACCUUCCUUUCUCUCACAAAGGAGCCUAAUGGAUGUCUCCCUAUCCAAAGCUUUCCGCAGCCUGGCCUCAUGGCGAAGAAGCUCGAACUUAAUCAUGUCAAAGGCCUACAAAGGAAAAUUUAAUAAGAAAGGAAGGGCACGAAACCGAUAUAAGCAUAUACCGGCUACCGAAGCUCACCAUAAAGCCAAGCUGAUGAGCCUCACCAAUGUCCAAUGGCCUAGUAUCCCCCAAAGCGCCUUUGGUAGAAAAAGAGGGAGGCUCCGUAUGACUCGCACUCCUUGAAAUACCUUCAACGGGAACGAGAAAUGAUCUUUCAGAAAUAGAGGCCUCCGAAGUCGGAAGAUCGGCUGAAUCGCCUCUUUUGAACCUCAGAAAAGGAUUUGCCCCACCGUGAGCAUCCUCACACCUCGGAGAUUCUUUCUAUUUAUUGUCAACCCUUGACCCCGAGGUCGGAAGUCUUUCCUCCUCCUCCAGGGGGCACGGUCUCAUCUCGGAAAAAUCUCCAACACCUGCGGCGAUAGAAUUAGUGCGCUAAACAGGAAGGUACCUUUCUGAGGAAAUAAGCCACUAAACGCCUACCGUGAUGCUUUGCCUCCCAUCUCCCCCCGGACAGGUCUCGCCACCUGCGCUUAACAUAGGUCGAACAAGCUUCCAUCUUGCGGGACCACUCAGCCAGAUUAGGGAUCUCAUUCGGCAACCAAGGAAUCGCUACAAAGAAUAAGAUAGAAAGACGCCUUUAUGGAGUCCUCCCUCGCUAUGGACAAAGCGAUAAAAAUACAAGUAUGCCACUUAAUUGUGAAAUUCCAUUUCUUAGGAAAUGGUAAGAACUCUCCAAGGAUAAUGUCGACAGUCCGUGCUCGAAGGAACUGGCUCAUCCACCCCCGGUCCUCGUCCUCUUCGUUGUUAAUGGCAGGGGACCGAGUGGAUCGAUGCCGCAGGGUAAUCAAGCCCCGAUAAUACAGCGGCCGAUAUAACCUAACGAGAUGGCUGAGGGUGAAUUCAAGCUCGGCCUUAUCCAAAAAGUACCUUAUCAUCAGUACUAUAUUCCAGAGGGAUGGAUGAACCUGAGCCAAGGUAACCUGAUAUCUCCUACAAAACUCAAGCACGACCCUGUGAAGGGGACCCGAUGUAAAAGGAUAUGUGUACAUGCUCAAAAACCUCUCGACAUGGGUCAUGAUAUUCUCCUCGGGGGAAGGUACCUGUAGUACUACUCCUUCUCCCUAUCCGCAAUCUUUUCUAAUCAUCUCGAGGUGUUCCACCCUUAUUGAGGAGAUGAACCUCGAUACGUGCUCCCUAUGCCCUUGAAUGUUGGAAGGUCUCUCCAACGUAAAGUCUCUCCUAGAGACAAAGCACCUCGAAGCUCACUCACCGGGUACCGGCGGUGUACUACCGACUGGACAUACAACAGAGGUAGAACUCCCCUCUCUUUGACGGGAGGAUGUCGAUGUAGCAUCUAUGGCUACGGUAAAAUAGGAUGAGGAUGAUGAAUGUUUGGGCCAAGGGUUCAAGCCAAAACGACGAAAGAACUAGCACAAAGAACAAAUCUCCAUGGAAGAAAUAGUUACUUUGAAUAGCAGAAUCUCCAUUUGAGAAGUAAGCGAGUGAAUAUAUAAAGGCAGGCAAUGACUGCUCGCUACCCAGAGGACCAAUUAAUUCUGGCCAUGACUGUAGACAUGUGACUUUUGACCCUCCCCGAGAUUUUACAUAUUUUAGCAUAUAAAUAUUUAGUAGAUCUAGUAUCGAUAUUUUAUCUAGUUUUGACCCUUUUACUUUAUUUUAUCACAAAAAUAAAAAUUACAAAAAUAUUUUCUUUUAUUUAGCUAAUUAAUAUUUUAUCUAGUUACUUUUAAUUUAUCUACUUUACAUAAAAUUCAAAAAAUACAAAAAUAGUUCCACUUUAUUUUUAGGAAUAUUAUUUUAAUGAUUUUAAUCUAAUUCCAUUUUUAUCUUUUAGUAUAAUAUUUGAAAAAUACCAAAAAAUAGGUUUGUUUUAAUGGUUAGUAUUAUUUUAAUAGUUAUUUUACUUAAGUAAGAUUGAUUGGUAAAUAAGGUCGUAUUUUUAGUCUUGUUCACAGAGAACCAUUUUUGGACCUAGCCCAUAAUAACUCAAGCCCAAUACCCUUAAAACCCUAGACUUAGACUUAAAAGGACCCCUAACCUAAGGAGAGAACCUAGACCAAUCAGCCAUUUUCUGAUUUUAGACCCUUAAUCAGCCACAAUAGACCUAGAAAACUCUACAGAUCAGCAGCUAGAAGAGAAGAGCUAACACAGAAGAGAGCAAUGGCGGAGCUCUCUUGAAAAGGACCCCCCUAUCAACUCAUCUUCUUCUUCAGAGAAGAAGAGCCAAUUUCCAUGGCUUCUUCUUAACCAAACCAAAGAUCCUUGCUCUCUUCAAACACACAAACAGCUGUUCCCCCUCGUCUUCAAAUUCCUCUCUCUAUCGUUUCACCUCCAUCGCCGGCGAGAUUCACUGGAAACCGGCGAAAACUAACCCCAUAACCAGUCAGUUUGCUAUUCGAUUCUCUGAGCUUCAGAACUAUUUGUUACGCAAAGCUUCAGUUUAUUCUCAUAUCGGAACUCAUGGAGGGGAACUGCUCGAUUUUGUUUUGAAGUCGAGCGUUCCAGUCCAAAGUCAAAGAAUCGAGUCGAGGUGUCCGUUGUAGCCGAGUUCGAAGUACUUUGGUCGAGUUUCAUUGAGAUUCUGGCGAGGCAUUUCGUUUUUCUGUUUGAGGUUCACAUUUGCUCGCCGAUUCGAGAAUAGUUAGAGCUGUAGAGAUCCAAUCGCUUAUCUUGUUUGCUUUAUCGGUGUAGUGUUCCAUAUAAAUGAUAUGUAUUAAUAUGGCUCCUGCUUGGAUCUGUUCUCCUGUUGUUUUAGCCUAAUUUUUCUUAGUUGUUAAUUCUUACCAUUAAGUUUAUUGGUUCUGGUUGUUGAGUGAAAAUAGCCCUACUAAACUGCUGAAAUCUCUAGCUAACUGGUAGCUAAUGCAGUCGUACCUUAGUUCAAGAUAAUUUUGUUAGUAAAUCCUUUUUUGUAUAAGACGUUUUCCUUAAGAAACCCAUUAGAAAGAGGGCAAGUUUAUUGAAGAAUCUUGAUUUAAUUAAUACAAUUUCCUCUUCUACUUUCCUGCACUUGAAAAUGACCGAAGAAUUAAACUUGAAAAAUGAGGAUAAGCGAUGGUCACAGUAAUGCAUUUGGUCUUAAGGUUUGGUAUUGUAAAAUUUGUUUUCCUUUAUCAGAUAUUUCAUCAAGUUUAGUUAGUUCCUAGCUUUAGUUUUAUCAUUUGGUCGAAUUAUUUUCUAAUGUUGGCUUAACUGUUUUAUAAAUUUUUUAUCAAUCCUUCAAUAAUCCUCUUCCUCUAUUGACGUGUAAUCAGUACUAGAUAAAAUGUUCCCAUAACUCUUGGGUCUCUCAAUAAUCUUGGCUUAGGAAAUACAUAACGCAUAAAUCGAUAGUAUGCUUUAGGCACGUAUUAAUAAAUAAUUAUCGUGAUUGUGUACAUGUUCGCGUGACAUAAUUACGAUCUAAAAAAUAAAAUGGGGGUAUGCGUUUCGCGCAACUUCGGCCAAACUUUCUUAAUAUUAAUAAAGCGUUAUUAAUAGUGAACACGUUCACGUGAAAUUUUUUUUUGACGCGCCAAACAAAUGAGUACACGUGCGCGUGACCUAUUUUAAGAUAACAUCUUAAUUAAAAGAGGAAAAUGCACAUAGUUUCUAAAAUGAGUAAUUAGACAAUUUGAUUAAGCCAAGUAUGAUCAAAGCGACCGUGCUAAAACUACGUAAUCCGAGAAUGCCUAACACCUUCUCCCGGGUUAGCAGAAAUCCUUACUCAGAUUUUUGUGUUCGCAGACCAUAAAUAGAGUCAAACUUCCUCGAUUCGUGAUUUUAAACCGGUGACUUGGGACAUCAUAAAUUAUCCCAAAUGACGACUUUGAAUUUUAACUAAAAUAAUCGUGUUUCGAUUGUCACUUUAAUUGGAAAAACUCCCUUAUACCCCCUUCACGUGUAGAAAAAGGAGGUGUAACAGCUCUAGCGACUCUACUGGGGAUAAGAAUCCAGAAUCUCUGGUUCUUGGUUCAGAAUUCGAGCUUGUUAAUAUGAUCUAUGCUUUGCUUUAUUUAUUGUUCAUAUUAUCGUAUUUGUGGACCUAAUGUGCUAACUGCUGCUUAUUUACCGCUUUGAUAGUAUUUGAAUUGUAUUAAACUGUCUUUUUACGCCUCCCACCUGAGUUUUCUAAAAUAUGGUGCACAUGUUCGCGUGACCCACUUUUCUGUUAGAAGUUAUACCAAAUAGAGCGAGGCUAGGCCAGCAAUAAGGUCGGGCAGACUUUUGUGCUCCCGGUACGUUGCCCCCAUCUCGGCUCGAGUUGUCCGCUCGGGUAAGCUAGGUCUAGAACAGACCCCAGGUUAAACCUAGAAUAACAUAGCCUCAUGUCGGAACCAUAGUAGGAAUGUUUGUUUGCAUCACAUGCAUUUGACCUUGGGGACUCAACACAGGGGUUGGGUCCGUCUAGGACAGGUGUACCCAAAUUAAAAGACCAUCCUGAUGCAUCUUACGUGCUACUUGUGUAUCUGUUUUCUUCAGCUUGUAUGUUGACUAGCUAUUAGAAUAGGUAAAGAAAACAAAACAAAAAAAGGAAAAAAAAUUGAAAAAAAUCAAGAGUGAGAGGUAGGUAAUCCGAAGCUUUGCCAAAAUUUUNNNNNNNNNNNNNNNNNNNNNNNNNNNNNNNNNNNNNNNNNNNNNNNNNNNNNNNNNNNNNNNNNNNNNNNNNNNNNNNNNNNNNNNNNNNNNNNNNNNNNNNNNNNNNNNNNNNNNNNNNNNNNNNNNNNNNNNNNNNNNNNNNNNNNNNNNNNNNNNNNNNNNNNNNNNNNNNNNNNNNNNNNNNNNNNNNNNNNNNNNNNNNNNNNNNNNNNNNNNNNNNNNNNNNNNNNNNNNNNNNAUUUUCUUUCUUCUUCAGAAGUCUUUCUUUUAAAAAUUUUUGAAAAAAACAAAUAAAAAAACUAAAAAAUAUUUUCAUUCUUUUUUCAUUGAAAAGAAAUUCAAGAAUCAAAUUUUUUUUUUCUUUAGAAGCAGUUCUUUCAUAAAUUGAAAAUAAAAGUCCAAAAAUCCAAAAAUAUUUCCUUUCUUCUUUAAAAGUUUUUCUUUCGAAAUUCCAAAAAAGAGUUAAAAUUCAAAAAUAUAUAUAUAUUUUCUUUCUAAAAAAAGUUUCAAAAUUCAAAAAGAGAGUCAAUUUAUUUACUUUAUUCCCGAUCUUCCCGAACUACGCAAGAUCUGAUUCAUGUUCCCAUAUGAUACGUAGGCAACCCACAUCAGGUUUGACCACCAUUAAAAAAAUAUGAUAAAAUGAAAAAACAAAAUGAUGAUAAUAAUAAGGGCUGACUGAGAUCAUUCUAACAUGUCUUUUAUUUUGAGUUGUGAAGAAAGUUUGAGGUGGUCGGUUUGUUGUAAGUUGACAACACAAGAUUCAAAGGAAAAAUGUCAUUGACUACUGACAUCGAAGUUGUUGCAAGCAGUUAUGAGACUCAGGGUCAGAGGGUUCAACAAGAGUCUACUGUGGUUGAGGAAAAUAGAAUACUGAAACAAAAAAUGACUGAAAUGUGUCAAGAGUGGGCCAAUGGCCAAGGACCGCCCUUUUCUUCUUAUGGUUUUCCAGAGUUCACACUCAUCUCAACUACUGCCAUUCCAGUCUUAUUGUCUGAUCAAUUCUAUCCACCUGGGUUCAGUCAUUAUCCCAACUGUAUGACUACAGCUGGAACCUCUGUUGUGCGCUCUCAAAGUUUGCCAUUGACAACCAAUCAGAUAACCGCUAUUGUUAUGCAUGUCUUCACCAUUCCACAGCCGACGGUGGUGCAGAGGAAAACUCAUGAGUCACAGUUUGCCACCCAGCAAGAACAGUCCCACUCUCUACUCUCUCGAGUACCACUCAUACCUAUUCGAUCUUCCUGCAAAGAUUGAGAAGCCUGCCCGAAAGAUGGCAUAGGAAGAAAUGACCCAAAGAGUGAAAAGCUUAGAGCAACAGUUGAAAAACAUGCAAGAGUUGGAAGGUCAGAAGAGUAUUGCCUUACAAGAUCUAUGUAUAUUCCCCGAUGUUCGUUUGCCAGUUGGUUUCAAGAUCCCCAAAUUUGAAAAGUAUGAUGGACAUGGAGACCCAAUAGCCCACCUGAAAAGGUUUUGCAAUCAACUAAGAGGUGCAGGAAGAAAUGAAGAAUUGCUAAUAGCUUAUUUUGGGGAAAUCCUUAUGGGAGUAGCAUCCGAAUGGUUUAUGGAUCAAGACACAUCUCGCUGGUACGUCUGGGAUGACAUGGCACAGGCAUUUGUCAAACAGUUCCAAUACAACAUUGACAUUGCCUCAGACCGCAAUUCCCUUUCAAACCUGAAGAAGAAAUCAAGUGAAAGUUUCAGGGAAUAUGCCAUUAAAUGGAGAGAGCAAGCAGCUAGAGUUAAGCCACCCAUAGAUGACCACGAGCUAAUCAUUGUCUUUCUUCAGGCGCAAGAGCCAGAUUACUUUCAAAACAUGAUGUCCGCAGUUGGCAAAUCCUUCUCAGAAGCAAUGAAAAAUGGGAGAAAUUGUAGAGAAUGACCUUAAGACAGGCAAAAUUAUAACUCUAAGUAGCUCUCAAAGCUGCAACUCAGGCUGUCCAAAUUGAAUCUGGUGACACGAAUGAAACGGACGAAGAAAUCAUGAUGACAUCAGGGGCGAGAAGUGGUCCUCGGAGAACAUCUCGAAGAUAUGAACAACCUCGUCUGGCUUUCCAUGAUUUCCCUAAAUACUAUUAUCCACCUCAGAACCUCAAUACUGUGUUACUUCACCUCAGUAUGUUACCGACCACCAAGACAUCCCAGAAGGCGAGCACCAGCACCGCAAAAUCUCCACCAGCCUCCACAAACUUUUCAAGUGCCCUAUAACCCACAUCCAAGCCAGGGGUAUAGAAGGGAACAAAGGUUGAAAGAUAAUUUUACACCAAUAGGAGAGUCCUAUGCAAGCUUAUUUGAGAAGUUAAAGCAUUAUGACAUGAUUGCACCCAUUCCUCCAAAUCAUGUAGACCCACGUGCAAGAAGCUUUGACCCAUAUAAAAGGUGUGAAUACUAUUCCAAUGCCCAGGGGCACAAUGCUAAAAGUUGUCGGGAUUUGAAAAGAGAAAUAGAAAGGAUGAUUCAGGAAAAAACUAAUUGUGAUCCAAGACAAUGACACCUAGAAUAUCACGCAGAAUCUUUUACCUGCACAUGAUGAUGCACACUUUGUGGGAUGAUGUCUGGUGACAUGGAGAAUGAGAAUCCACUCGGGAACUUGCCGACUGAAAUUGGAGAAGGCCAUAGUAAUUCUGAUGAGCAAAUUUGUGGCUAAAUAUCAAGGUUAGCAAUUGAAAAGUCAUUCCCUCCUUACUAGCAAGGAAUCUUGGUGGUUUGUUUUGAUUUUUUUUCUAUUAUCUGGGUUAUUUCAGGGUUGUGAUCCAGAUUUUAUUUGUUUUAUUGAGUCAAAUCCUUCUAUCCCUCCAUUCUGUCUGUGCGAGUCCUGUCCGUUUGCUCUGUUGCUAUUUUCAUCAUCCGGGUUAUUUUAGGAUUCUAACUCGGAUUUUAGGUUGUUUGUCUUGUUAUUUACUCAAUAAAAUGCAGUUUGUCCUUUUGUAUCGUUCCAUGCUUAGUUCUUUUACCGCUAGUUUUAGUGACAUGACAUGCAUGCGGAAUUUUUGGCCAGAUCUUAGAAAAUUGAUUUAAGCUUGUAUUGGAUAACUGAGAAAAAGACACUUUUGAGGAUGAAAAAGAGUUGAAAUACUUUGGAAUUAAGGUCGAGUAGAAUUCACCUUCAAAUCAAUGUGAAGAUCGGGCUUGAGGGUAUUGAAUCAAUUGAAGCUUGGUUGAAAGUUUGACAUUAAUGGAUGGAGAGUAUCUUUCGACCACGACACACCAAGAAGAUAAACAUGUUCAUCAAUGUUGUGAUUGCAGAAGGAUACUAAUUUUGGCGUUCUCGAGGUCGGGAGGCCCUUUUUCUGCUAUCCAAAAAUGUUAUAUCCUUCGUUACCCCUUUUGAGCCUGUGUUAUUUUCUUUGACCACCCUCUUUUGGAAUCUAGUUUAGAGUCAAGAGUCCAAAAAAAAGGAAAAAAGGAAAAAUGAUAAAAAAAGAAAAGAAAAGAAAAGAAAAGUCCAUGUCCCAAGAGUACAAACUGGAGCAAUUCUUAGAAAGUUCAAGAAAAAAAAUGAAAAAGAAAAGAACUGUCAAAGGUCCAUGCCCCUAGAAAAUAGAAGCUGGGGCAACUUGUUUUGAAAACAAAAAUAAAAAAAGAGAUAAAAAAAGAGGAGAGAUACAGAAAAAAAGAUGAUUUUUUUAGUUAGGUCAGAAGUUUGAACUACGUUCGACCUGAUUCCUUAAAAAAAGAUACGUAUGUGUCAUACCUUCUUUUUACCUAUCCCCAGAAGGGUUUAAGGGAGUUUUUUCCAACUUAAAGUGACAAUCGAAACGAGAUUAUUUAUUUAUAAAUUCAGAGUCGCCACUUGGGAUAAUUUAUGGUGUCCCAAGUCACCAGUUUAAAAUCCCGAAUGAGGAAAGAUUGACUCUGUUUUCAGUCCUCGAACACAGAAAUUCGGGUAAGGAAUUUUGUUAAUCCGGGAGAAUGUAUUAGACAUUCCCGGGUUCCGUGGUUUUAGCACGGUCGCUCAACUGUUAUUAUUGGCCUAUUUAUUUAAUUAAUCACAUCUUUUAAACCUACGUGCAUUUUUAAACCUUUUAAGCCGCUUUUAAAAAUCCAAUUAUUAUACAGCUAAUUAUUGAUUAUACAUGGCAAAUCAUGUCACGAGAACCGUACCCACGAUCCACAACAUGUUUAUUUUAAUUAACAAAAAUAUUGUGGUUGGGUCACAUAAAUGUACACCCGGUUUUAUUACAAAUUAAGUGUCAUGACCACGUCACAGGAACCGUACCCGUAGCUAUGACAAUUAUUUAAUUAACGCGCCUAAAGCAAACUACGAAAGUUUAAGGCAUUUUUUUAUACUAGUUUUUGUAUUUAUGUGAGGGCCAUACAUUAUGGAUUUUGUUUGCGUAUGACACACCUCAAUUAUUUUAAAAGAAAAGAAUUAUUUCACUAAGGUAAACUAAAGAUACUCCUACUUUAAUCUAAUUUAAAAUUAUAUAUCACGACCAUGUCACGAGAACCGUACCCGUAGUCAUGAUGAUGAUUUAUUUUCAUGCCUAAAGGUUCGCCUACCCGGAUGUGGUGGCCUAAGUAUGCUCUUAUGACCAAUUAAGAGAAUAAAAGUUAUAAAUUCCAAUGUUCUUUCAUUUAACGACAAAGCUCGUGCCCACAUAUUAUUAAAAGUUUUGCUAAACCAAUACAACCCAUUCAACUGAAGCGAAGCAUCCAAUCCUAGUAGACCAAACGGAAUGAAAUGAUUAUAAGAAAUCAAACCCCGGUUGACCCAGUGUAUUAAUUCAAACGAAUUUCAUCCAAGCAAAUGUAUGGUUUUUGGAAAUUUCAAUAGAGAGAUAGGAACAAAACUUAUUAAAAUUCAAUCCAUUUUAAUCAUAGAAAUUCGCAUCGUCAUAAUCAAACCAACAAGGGAAAGCUAACUACUACAGAUUAAUACACAUAAUUAUGAAGUAUGCAUUCAUUUCACAUUCUAACUUGAAUAAAGACGAGCAACAAAGCACUGUGCUUAAGGCUUUCACAUAUCCUUUUCAUGCUAAAAUCAUAUCAAAAAUAGAAUAAUAGGGAAUUGACAAUGAACCUGGACUGAACUUCUUCUUAGUAACAGUAGAGGAAUGAGCAUAUACAAUGUUUUUCUCCCAAAUUUAAACUGAGAACAACGCAAUCGAGUAGAAACGUGAGCCAAACCACGAACCUCAGACGGAAACUCGAAUCAGUAUCGGAACGAAAUCAAUCGAACCCUGUCGAUUCCAUGGAAGAAACGGGAGUGGCGACGAAAGGGGGGCUGCUAUGGUGGUGGAAGAGCUCGGAGACAGUGAGGCACGGCUGGGUUAUCUGAGGGGGGUUGGUUUCCGGUGAAGCAACGACUGCAGGUGUGGGCUUCGCCGGAGAUGAGGAAAGGGGGGGUCGUUUGGAGAAGACGAAGUCAGAGGGUGGGGUCGUUUAUGGCUGCGGUGGAUCUGUUUUGUCUCUUAGGUCUAGGUGUAUUUUUUUUCU